GGUUAGGGUUAGGGUUGGAGUUAGGGUUAGUGUUGGAGCUAGGGUUAGGGUUGGGCUUGGAGCUAGGAUUUUUCUGAGUGCAAUGAACCAACUCCCGAGUCUCUAGGACGUUCCCUAAAAAAAUUUGAUUUUUUCCCAUAGGAAUGCAUGGGUUAGGGUUAGGGUUAGGGUUGGAGCUAGGGUUAGGGUUAGGGUUAGGGUUGGAGUUAGGGUUAGUGUUGGAGCUAGGGUUAGGGUUGGGGUUAGGGUUGGAGUUAGGGUUAGUGUUGGAGCUAGGGUUAGGGUUGGGCUUGGAGCUAGGACUUUUCUGAGUGCAAUGAACCAACUCCCGAGUCUCUUGGACGUUCCUAAAAAAAUUUGAUUUUUUCCCAUAGGAAUGCAUGGGUUAGGGUUAGGGUUAGGGUUGGAGCUAGGGUUAGGGUUAGGGUUAGGGUUGGAGUUAGGGUUAGUGUUGGAGCUAGGGUUAGGGUUGGGCUUGGAGCUAGGAUUUUUCUGAGUGCACUGAACCAACUCCCGAGUCUCUAGGACGUUCCUAAAAAAAUUUGAUUUUUUCCCAUAGGAAUGCAUGGGUUAGGGUUAGGGUUAGGGUUGGAGCUAGGGUUAGGGUUAGGGUUAGGGUUGGAGUUAGGGUUAGUGUUGGAGCUAGGGUUAGGGUUGGGCUUGGAGCUAGGACUUUUCUGAGUGCAAUGAACCAACUCCCGAGUCUCUAGGACGUUCCCUAAAAAAAUUUGAUUUUUUCCCAUAGGAAUGCAUGGGUUAGGGUUAGGGUUAGGGUUGGAGCUAGGGUUAGGGUUAGGGUUAGGGUUGGAGUUAGGGUUAGUGUUGGAGCUAGGGUUAGGGUUGGGCUUGGAGCUAGGAUUUUUCUGAGUGCACUGAACCAACUCCCGAGUCUCUAGGACAUUCCUAAAAAAAUUAGAUUUUUUCCCAUAGGAAUGCAUGGGUUAGGGUUAUGGUUAGGGUUAGGGUUGGAGCUAGGGUUAGGGUUAGGGUUAGGGUUGGAGUUAGGGUUAGUGUUGGAGCUAGGGUUAGGGUUGGGCUUGGAGCUAGGAUUUUUCUGAGUGCACUGAACCAACUCCCGAGUCUCUAGGACAUUCCUAAAAAAAAUUGAUUUUUUCCCAUAGGAAUGCAUGGGUUAGGGUUAUGGUUAGGGUUAGGGUUGGAGCUAGGGUUAGGGUUAGGGUUAGGGUUGGAGUUAGGGUUAGUGUUGGAGCUAGGGUUAGGGUUGGGCUUGGAGCUAGGACUUUUCUGAGUGCAAUGAACCAACUCCCGAGUCUCUUGGACGUUCCUAAAAAAAUUAGAUUUUUUCCCAUAGGAAUGCAUGGGUUAGGGUUAGGGUUAGGGUUGGAGCUAGGGUUAGGGUUAGGGUUAGGGUUGGAGUUAGGGUUAGUGUUGGAGCUAGGGUUAGGGUUGGGCUUGGAGCUAGGAUUUUUCUGAGUGCAAUGAACCAACUCCCGAGUCUCUAGGACGUUCCUAAAAAAAUUUGAUUUUUUCCCAUAGGAAUGCAUGGGUUAGGGUUAGGGUUAGGGUUGGAGCUAGGGUUAGGGUUAGGGUUAGGGUUGGAGUUAGGGUUAGUGUUGGAGCUAGGGUUAGGGUUGGGCUUGGAGCUAGGAUUUUUCUGAGUGCACUGAACCAACUCCCGAGUCUCUAGGACAUUCCUAAAAAAAUUUGAUUUUUUCCCAUAGGAAUGCAUGGGUUAGGGUUAUGGUUAGGGUUAGGGUUGGAGCUAGGGUUAGGGUUAGGGUUAGGGUUGGAGUUAGGGUUAGUGUUGGAGCUAGGGUUAGGGUUGGGCUUGGAGCUAGGAUUUUUCUGAGUACAAUGAACCAACUCCCGAGUCUCUUGGACGUUCCUAAACAAAUUUGAUUUUUUCCCAUAGGAAUGCAUGGGUUAGGGUUAGGGUUAGGGUUGGAGCUAGGGUUAGGGUUAGGGUUAGGGUUGGAGUUAGGGUUAGUGUUGGAGCUAGGGUUAGGGUUGGGCUUGGAGCUAGGAUUUUUCUGAGUGCACUGAACCAACUCCCGAGUCUCUAGGACAUUCCUAAAAAAAUUUGAUUUUUUCCCAUAGGAAUGCAUGGGUUAGGGUUAUGGUUAGGGUUAGGGUUGCAGCUAGGGUUAGGGUUAGGGUUAGGGUUGGAGUUAGGGUUAGUGUUGGAGCUAGGGUUAGGGUUGGGCUUGGAGCUAGGAUUUUUCUGAGUGCACUGAACCAACUCCCGAGUCUCUAGGACAUUCCUAAAAAAAAUUGAUUUUUUUCCCAUAGGAAUGCAUGGGUUAGGGUUAUGGUUAGGGUUAGGGUUGGAGCUAGGGUUAGGGUUAGGGUUAGGGUUGGAGUUAGGGUUAGUGUUGGAGCUAGGGUUAGGGUUGGGCUUGGAGCUAGGACUUUUCUGAGUGCAAUGAACCAACUCCCGAGUCUCUUGGACGUUCCUAAAAAAAUUUGAUUUUUUCCCAUAGGAAUGCAUGGGUUAGGGUUAGGGUUAGGGUUGGAGCUAGGGUUAGGGUUAGGGUUAGGGUUGGAGUUAGGGUUAGUGUUGGAUCUAGGGUUAGGGUUGGGCUUGGAGCUAGGACUUUUCUGAGUGCAAUGAACCAACUCCCGAGUCUCUUGGACGUUCCCUAAAAAAAAUUGAUUUUUUCCCAUAGGAAUGCAUGGGUUAGGGUUAGGGUUAGGGUUGGAGCUAGGGUUAGGGUUAGGGUAAGGGUUGGAGUUAGGGUUAGUGUUGGAGCUAGGGUUAGGGUUGGGCUUGGAGCUAGGAUUUUUCUGAGUGCACUGAACCAACUCCCGAGUCUCUAGGACAUUCCUAAAAAAAUUUGAUUUUUUCCCAUAGGAAUGCAUGGGUUAGGGUUAUGGUUAGGGUUAGGGUUGGAGCUAGGGUUAGGGUUAGGGUUAGGGUUGGAGUUAGGGUUAGUGUUGGAGCUAGGGUUAGGGUUGGGCUUGGAGCUAGGAUUUUUCUGAGUGCACUGAACCAACUCCCGAGUCUCUAGGACAUUCCUAAAAAAAUUUGAUUUUUUUCCCAUAGGAAUGCAUGGGUUAGGGUUAUGGUUAGGGUUAGGGUUGGAGCUAGGGUUAGGGUUAGGGUUAGGGUUGGAGUUAGGGUUAGUGUUGGAGCUAGGGUUAGGGUUGGGCUUGGAGCUAGGAUUUUUCUGAGUGCAAUGAACCAACUCCCGAGUCUCUAGGACGUUCCUAAAAAAAUUUGAUUUUUUCCCAUAGGAAUGCAUGGGUUAGGGUUAGGGUUAGGGUUGGAGCUAGGGUUAGGGUUAGGGUUAGGGUUGGAGUUAGGGUUAGUGUUGGAGCUAGGGUUAGGGUUGGGCUUGGAGCUAGGAUUUUUCUGAGUGCACUGAACCAACUCCCGAGUCUCUAGGACAUUCCUAAAAAAAUUUGAUUUUUUCCCAUAGGAAUGCAUGGGUUAGGGUUAUGGUUAGGGUUAGGGUUGGAGCUAGGGUUAGGGUUAGGCUUAGGGUUGGAGUUAGGGUUAGUGUUGGAGCUAGGGUUAGGGUUGGGCUUGGAGCUAGGAUUUUUCUGAGUGCACUGAACCAACUCCCGAGUCUCUAGGACAUUCCUAAAAAAAUUUGAUUUUUUCCCAUAGGAAUGCAUGGGUUAGGGUUAUGGUUAGGGUUAGGGUUGGAGCUAGGGUUAGGGUUAGGGUUAGGGUUGGAGUUAGGGUUAGUGUUGGAGCUAGGGUUAGGGUUGGGCUUGGAGCUAGGACUUUUCUGAGUGCAAUGAACCAACUCCCGAGUCUCUUGGACGUUCCUAAAAAAAUUUGAUUUUUUCCCAUAGGAAUGCAUGGGUUAGGGUUAGGGUUAGGGUUGGAGCUAGGGUUAGGGUUAGGGUUAGGGUUGGAGUUAGGGUUAGUGUUGGAGCUAGGGUUAGGGUUGGGCUUGGAGCUAGGACUUUUCUGAGUGCAAUGAACCAACUCCCGAGUCUCUUGGACGUUCCCUAAAAAAAAUUGAUUUUUUCCCAUAGGAAUGCAUGGGUUAGGGUUAGGGUUAGGGUUGGAGCUAGGGUUAGGGUUAGGGUUAGGGUUGGAGUUAGGGUUAGUGUUGGAGCUAGGGUUAGGGUUGGGCUUGGAGCUAGGAUUUUUCUGAGUGCACUGAACCAACUCCCGAGUCUCUAGGACAUUCCUAAAAAAAAUUGAUUUUUUUCCCAUAGGAAUGCAUGGGUUAGGGUUAUGGUUAGGGUUAGGGUUGGAGCUAGGGUUAGGGUUAGGGUUAGGGUUGGAGUUAGGGUUAGUGUUGGAGCUAGGGUUAGGGUUGGGCUUGGAGCUAGGAUUUUUCUGAGUGCAAUGAACCAACUCCCGAGUCUCUUGGACGUUCCUAAAAAAAUUUGAUUUUUUCCCAUAGGAAUGCAUGGGUUAGGGUUAGGGUUAGGGUUGGAGCUAGGGUUAGGGUUAGGGUUAGGGUUGGAGUUAGGGUUAGUGUUGGAGCUAGGGUUAGGGUUGGGCUUGGAGCUAGGAUUUUUCUGAGUGCAAUGAACCAACUCCCGAGUCUCUAGGACGUUCCUAAAAAAAUUUGAUUUUUUCCCAUAGGAAUGCAUGGGUUAGGGUUAGGGUUAGGGUUGGAGCUAGGGUUAGGGUUAGGGUUAGGGUUGGAGUUAGGGUUAGUGUUGGAGCUAGGGUUAGGGUUGGGCUUGGAGCUAGGAUUUUUCUGAGUGCACUGAACCAACUCCCGAGUCUCUAGGACAUUCCUAAAAAAAUUUGAUUUUUUCCGAUAGGAAUGCAUGGGUUAGGGUUAUGGUUAGGGUUAGGGUUGGAGCUAGGGUUAGGGUUAGGCUUAGGGUUGGAGUUAGGGUUAGUGUUGGAGCUAGGGUUAGGGUUGGGCUUGGAGCUAGGAUUUUUCUGAGUGCACUGAACCAACUCCCGAGUCUCUAGGACAUUCCUAAAAAAAAUUGAUUUUUUUCCCAUAGGAAUGCAUGGGUUAGGGUUAUGGUUAGGGUUAGGGUUGGAGCUAGGGUUAGGGUUAGGGUUAGGGUUGGAGUUAGGGUUAGUGUUGGAGCUAGGGUUAGGGUUGGGCUUGGAGCUAGGACUUUUCUGAGUGCAAUGAACCAACUCCCGAGUCUCUUGGACGUUCCUAAAAAAAUUUGAUUUUUUCCCAUAGGAAUGCAUGGGUUAGGGUUAGGGUUAGGGUUGGAGCUAGGGUUAGGGUUAGGGUUAGGGGGUUGGAGUUAGGGUUAGUGUUGGAGCUAGGGUUAGGGUUGGGCUUGGAGCUAGGAUUUUUCUGAGUGCAAUGAACCAACUCCCGAGUCUCUAGGACGUUCCUAAAAAAAUUUGAUUUUUUCCCAUAGGAAUGCAUGGGUUAGGGUUAGGGUUAGGGUUGGAGCUAGGGUUAGGGUUAGGGUUAGGGUUGGAGUUAGGGUUAGUGUUGGAGCUAGGGUUAGGGUUGGGCUUGGAGCUAGGAUUUUUCUGAGUGCACUGAACCAACUCCCGAGUCUCUAGGACAUUCCUAAAAAAAUUGAUUUUUUCCCAUAGGAAUGCAUGGGUUAGGGUUAUGGUUAGGGUUAGGGUUGGAGCUAGGGUUAGGGUUAGGGUUAGGGUUGGAGUUAGGGUUAGUGUUGGAGCUAGGGUUAGGGUUGGGCUUGGAGCUAGGAUUUUUCUGAGUGCACUGAACCAACUCCCGAGUCUCUUGGACAUUCCUAAAAAAAUUUGAUUUUUUUCCCAUAGGAAUCCAUGGGUUAGGGUUAUGGUUAGGGUUAGGGUUGGAGCUAGGGUUAGGGUUAGGGUUAGGGUUGGAGUUAGGGUUAGUGUUGGAGCUAGGGUUAGGGUUGGGCUUGGAGCUAGGAUUUUUCUGAGUGCAAUGAACCAACUCCCGAGUCUCUAGGACGUUCCUAAAAAAAUUUGAUUUUUUCCCAUAGGAAUGCAUGGGUUAGGGUUAGGGUUAGGGUUGGAGCUAGGGUUAGGGUUAGGGUUAGGGUUGAAGUUAGGGUUAGUGUUGGAGCUAGGGUUAGGGUUGGGCUUGGAGCUAGGAUUUUUCUGAGUGCACUGAACCAACUCCCGAGUCUCUAGGACAUUCCUAAAAAAAUUUGAUUUUUUCCCAUAGGAAUGCAUGGGUUAGGGUUAUGGUUAGGGUUAGGGUUGGAGCUAGGGUUAGGGUUAGGGUUAGGGUUGGAGUUAGGGUUAGUGUUGGAGCUAGGGUUAGGGUUGGGCUUGGAGCUAGGAUUUUUCUGAGUGCACUGAACCAACUCCCGAGUCUCUAGGACAUUCCUAAAAAAAUUUAAUUUUUUUCCCAUAGGAAUGCAUGGGUUAGGGUUAUGGUUAGGGUUAGGGUUGGAGCUAGGGUUAGGGUUAGGGUUAGGGUUGGAGUUAGGGUUAGUGUUGGAGCUAGGGUUAGGGUUGGGCUUGGAGCUAGGAUUUUUCUGAGUACAAUGAACCAACUCCCGAGUCUCUUGGACGUUCCUAAAAAAAUUUGAUUUUUUCCCAUAGGAAUGCAUGGGUUAGGGUUAGGGUUAGGGUUGGAGCUAGGGUUAGGGUUAGGGUUAGGGUUGGAGUUAGGGUUAGUGUUGGAGCUAGGGUUAGGGUUGGGCUUGGAGCUAGGAUUUUUCUGAGUGCACUGAACCAACUCCCGAGUCUCUAGGACAUUCCUAAAAAAAUUUGAUUUUUUCCCAUAGGAAUGCAUGGGUUAGGGUUAUGGUUAGGGUUAGGGUUGGAGCUAGGGUUAGGGUUAGGCUUAGGGUUGGAGUUAGGGUUAGUGUUGGAGCUAGGGUUAGGGUUGGGCUUGGAGCUAGGAUUUUUCUGAGUGCACUGAACCAACUCCCGAGUCUCUAGGACAUUCCUAAAAAAAAUUGAUUUUUUUCCCAUAGGAAUGCAUGGGUUAGGGUUAUGGUUAGGGUUAGGGCUGGAGCUAGGGUUAGGGUUAGGGUUAGGGUUGGAGUUAGGGUUAGUGUUGGAGCUAGGGUUAGGGUUGGGCUUGGAGCUAGGACUUUUCUGAGUGCAAUGAACCAACUCCCGAGUCUCUUGGACGUUCCUAAAAAAAUUUGAUUUUUUCCCAUAGGAAUGCAUGGGUUAGGGUUAGGGUUAGGGUUGGAGCUAGGGUUAGGGUUAGGGUUAGGGUUGGAGUUAGGGUUAGUGUUGGAGCUAGGGUUAGGGUUGGGCUUGGAGCUAGGACUUUUCUGAGUGCAAUGAACCAACUCCCGAGUCUCUUGGACGUUCCCUAAAAAAAAUUGAUUUUUUCCCAUAGGAAUGCAUGGGUUAGGGUUAGGGUUAGGGUUGGAGCUAGGGUUAGGGUUAGGGUUAGGGUUGGAGUUAGGGUUAGUGUUGGAGCUAGGGUUAGGGUUGGGCUUGGAGCUAGGAUUUUUCUGAGUGCAAUGAACCAACUCCCGAGUCUCUAGGACGUUCCUAAAAAAAUUUGAUUUUUUCCCAUAGGAAUGCAUGGGUUAGGGUUAGGGUUAGGGUUGGAGCUAGGGUUAGGGUUAGGGUUAGGGUUGGAGUUAGGGUUAGUGUUGGAGCUAGGGUUAGGGUUGGGCUUGGAGCUAGGAUUUUUCUGAGUGCACUGAACCAACUCCCGAGUCUCUAGUACAUUCCUAAAAAAAUUUGUUUUUUUCCCAUAGGAAUGCAUGGGUUAGGGUUAUGGUUAGGGUUAGGGUUGGAGCUAGGGUUAGGGUUAGGGUUAGGGUUGGAGUUAGGGUUAGUGUUGGAGCUAGGGUUAGGGUUGGGCUUGGAGCUAGGACUUUUCUGAGUGCAAUGAACCAACUCCCGAGUCUCUAGGACGUUCCUAAAAAAAUUUGAUUUUUUCCCAUAGGAAUGCAUGGGUUAGGGUUAGGGUUAGGGUUGGAGCUAGGGUUAGGGUUAGGGUUAGGGUUGGAGUUAGGGUUAGUGUUGGAGCUAGGGUUAGGGUUGGGCUUGGAGCUAGGAUUUUUCUGAGUGCACUGAACCAACUCCCGAGUCUCUAGGACAUUCCUAAAAAAAUUUGAUUUUUUUCCCAUAGGAAUGCAUGGGUUAGGGUUAGGGUUAGGGUUAGGGUUAGGGUUGGAGCUAGGGUUAGGGUUAGGGUUAGGGUUGGAGUUAGGGUUAGUGUUGGAGCUAGGGUUAGGGUUGGGCUUGGAGCUAGGAUUUUUCUGAGUGCACUGAACCAACUCCCGAGUCUCUAGGACAUUCCUAAAAAAAUUUGAUUUUUUCCAAUAGGAAUGCAUGGUUUAGGGUUAUGGUUAGGGUUAGGGUUGGAGCUAGGGUUAGGGUUAGGGUUAGGGUUGGAGUUAGGGUUAGUGUUGGAGCUAGGGUUAGGGUUGGGCUUGGAGCUAGGACUUUUCUGAGUGCAAUGAACCAACUCCCGAGUCUCUAGGAUGUUCCCUAAAAAAAUUUGAUUUUUUCCCAUAGGAAUGCAUGGGUUAGGGUUAUGGUUAGGGUUAGGGUUGGAGCUAGGGUUAGGGUUAGGGUUAGGGUUGGAGUUAGGGUUAGUGUUGGAGCUAGGGUUAGGGUUGGGCUUGGAGCUAGGAUUUUUCCGAGUGCACUGAACCAACUCCCGAGUCUCUAGGACAUUCCUAAAAAAAUUUGAUUUUUUCCCAUAGGAAUGCAUGGGUUAGGGUUAUGGUUAGGGUUAGGGUUGGAGCUAGGGUUAGGGUUAGGGUUAGGGUUGGAGUUAGGGUUAGUGUUGGAGCUAGGGUUAGGGUUGGGCUUGGAGCUAGGACUUUUCUGAGUGCAAUGAACCAACUCCCGAGUCUCUAGGACGUUCCCUAAAAAAAAUUGAUUUUUUCCCAUAGGAAUGCAUGGGUUAGGGUUAGGGUUAGUGUUGGAGCUAGGGUUAGGGUUGGGCUUGGAGCUAGGAUUUUUCUGAGUGCACUGAACCAACUCCCGAGUCUCUAGGACAUUCCUAAAAAAAUUUGAUUUUUUCCCAUAGGAAUGCAUGGGUUAGGGUUAGGGUUAGGGUUGGAGCUAGGGUUAGGGUCAGGGUUAGGGUUGGAGUUAGGGUUAGUGUUGGAGCUAGGGUUAGGGUUGGGCUUGGAGCUAGGAUUUUUCUGAGUGCACUGAACCAACUCCCGAGUCUCUAGGACAUUCCUAAAAAAAUUUGAUUUUUUUUCCCAUAGGAAUGCAUGGGUUAGGGUUAUGGUUAGGGUUAGGGUUGGAGCUAGGGUUAGGGUUAGGGUUAGGGUUGGAGUUAGGGUUAGUGUUGGAGCUAGGGUUAGGGUUGGGCUUGGAGCUAGGAUUUUUCUGAGUGCAAUGAACCAACUCCCGAGUCUCUAGGACAUUCCUAAAAAAAUUUGAUUUUUUCCCAUAGGAAUGCAUGGUUUAGGGUUAGGGUUAGGGUUGGAGCUAGGGUUAGGGUUAGGGUUAGGGUUGGAGUUAGGGUUAGUGUUGGAGCUAGGGUUAGGGUUGGGCUUGGAGCUAGGAUUUUUCUGAGUGGAAUGAACCAACUCCCGAGUCUCUAGGACGUUCCUAAAAAAAUUGAUUUUUUCCCAUAGGAAUGCAUGGGUUAGGGUUAGGGUUAGGGUUGGAGCUAGGGUUAGGGUUAGGGUUGGAGUUAGGGUUAGUGUUGGAGCUAGGGUUAGGGUUGGGCUUGGAGCUAGGAUUUUUCUGAGUGCACUGAACCAACUCCCGAGUCUCUAGGACAUUCCUAAAAAAAUUUGAUUUUUUCCCAUAGGAAUGCAUGGUUUAGGGUUAUGGUUAGGGUUAGGGUUGGAGCUAGGGUUAGGGUUAGGGUUAGGGUUGGAGUUAGGGUUAGUGUUGGAGCUAGGGUUAGGGUUGGGCUUGGAGCUAGGACUUUUCUGAGUGCAAUGAACCAACUCCCGAGUCUCUAGGACGUUCCCUAAAAAAAUUUAAUUUUUUCCCAUAGGAAUGCAUGGGUUAGGGUUAGGGUUAGGGUUGGAGCUAGGGUUAGGGUUAGGGUUAGGGUUGGAGUUAGGGUUAGUGUUGGAGCUAGGGUUAGGGUUGGGCUUGGAGCUAGGAUUUUUCUGAGUGCACUGAACCAACUCCCGAGUCUCUAGGACAUUCCUAAAAAAAAUUGAUUUUUUUCCCAUAGGAAUGCAUGGGUUAGGGUUAUGGUUAGGGUUAGGGUUGGAGCUAGGGUUAGGGUUAGGGUUAGGGUUGGAGUUAGGGUUAGUGUUGGAGCUAGGGUUAGGGUUGGGCUUGGAGCUAGGAUUUUUCUGAGUGCAAUGAACCAACUCCCGAGUCUCUUGGACGUUCCUAAAAAAAUUGAUUUUUUCCCAUAGGAAUGCAUGGGUUAGGGUUAGGGUUAGGGUUGGAGCUAGGGUUAGGGUUAGGGUCAGGGUUGGAGUUAGGGUUAGUGUUGGAGCUAGGGUUAGGGUUGGGCUUGGAGCUAGGAUUUUUCUGAGUGCAAUGAACCAACUCCCGAGUCUCUUGGACGUUCCUAAAAAAAUUUGAUUUUUUCCCAUAGGAAUGCAUGGGUUAGGGUUAUGGUUAGGGUUGGAGCUAGGGUUAGGGUUAGGGUUAGGGUUGGAGUUAGGGUUAGUGUUGGAGCUAGGGUUAGGGUUGGGCUUGGAGCUAGGAUUUUUCUGAGUGCACUGAACCAACUCCCGAGUCUCUAGGACAUUCCUAAAAAAAUUUGAUUUUUUCCCAUAGGAAUGCAUGGGUUAGGGUUAUGGUUAGGGUUAGGGUUGGAGCUAGGGUUAGGGUUAGGGUUAGGGUUGGAGUUAGGGUUAGUGUUGGAGCUAGGGUUAGGGUUGGGCUUGGAGCUAGGACUUUUCUGAGUGCAAUGAACCAACUCCCGAGUCUCUAGGACGUUCCCUAAAAAAAUUGAUUUUUUCCCAUAGGAAUGCAUGGGUUAGGGUUAGGGUUAGGGUUGGAGCUAGGGUUAGGGUUAGGGUUAGGGUUGGAGUUAGGGUUAGUGUUGGAGCUAGGGUUAGGGUUGGGCUUGGAGCUAGGAUUUUUCUGAGUGCACUGAACCAACUCCCGAGUCUCUAGGACAUUCCUAAAAAAAUUUGAUUUUUUCCCAUAGGAAUGCAUGGGUUAGGGUUAUGGUUAGGGUUAGGGUUGGAGCUAGGGUUAGGGUUAGGGUUAGGGUUGGAGUUAGGGUUAGUGUUGGAGCUAGGGUUAGGGUUGGGCUUGGAGCUAGGAUUUUUCUGAGUGCACUGAACCAACUCCCGAGUCUCUAGGACAUUCCUAAAAAAAUUUGAUUUUUUUCCCAUAGGAAUGCAUGGGUUAGGGUAAUGGUUAGGGUUAGGGUUGGAGCUAGGGUUAGGGUUAGGGUUAGGGUUGGAGUUAGGGUUAGUGUUGGAGCUAGGGUUAGGGUUGGGCUUGGAGCUAGGAUUUUUCUGAGUGCACUGAACCAACUCCCGAGUCUCUAGGACAUUCCUAAAAAAUUUUGAUUUUUUCCCAUAGGAAUGCAUGGGUUAGGGUUAGGGUUAGGGUUGGAGCUAGGGUUAGGGUUAGGGUUAGGUUUGGAGUUAGGGUUAGUGUUGGAGCUAGGGUUAGGGUUGGGCUUAGGGUUAGGGUUAGGGUUGGAGUUAGGGUUAGUGUUGGAGCUAGGGUUAGGGUUGGGCUUGGAGCUAGGAUUUUUCUGAGUGCACUGAACCAACUCCCGAGUCUCUAGGACAUUCCUAAAAAAAUUUGAUUUUUUCCCAUAGGAAUGCAUGGGUUAGGGUUAGGGUUAGGGUUGGAGCUAGGGUUAGGGUUAGGGUUAGGGUUGGAGUUAGGGUUAGUGUUGGAGCUAGGGUUAGGGUUGGGCUUGGAGCUAGGAUUUUUCUGAGUGCACUGAACCAACUCCCGAGUCUCUAGGACAUUCCUAAAAAAAUUUGAUUUUUUCCCAUAGGAAUGCAUGGGUUAGGGUUAUGGUUAGGGUUAGUGUUGGAGCUAGGGUUAGGGUUGGGCUUGGAGCUAGGAUUUUUCUGAGUGCAAUGAACCAACUCCCGAGUCUCUUGGACGUUCCUAAAAAAAUUUGAUUUUUUCCCAUAGGAAUGCAUGGGUUAGGGUUAGGGUUAGGGUUGGAGCUAGGGUUAGGGUUAGGGUUAGGGUUGGAGUUAGGGUUAGUGUUGGAGCUAGGGUUAGGGUUGGGCUUGGAGCUAGGAUUUUUCUGAGUGCAAUGAACCAACUCCUGAGUCUCUAGGACGUUCCUAAAAAAAUUUGAUUUUUUCCCAUAGGAAUGCAUGGGUUAGGGUUAGGGUUAGGGUUGGAGCUAGGGUUUUUCCCAUAGGAAUGCAUGGGUUAGGGUUAGGGUUAGGGUUGGAGCUAGGGUUAGGGUUAGGGUUAGGGUUGGAGUUAGGGUUAGUGUUGGAGCUAGGGUUAGGGUUGGGCUUGGAGCUAGGAUUUUUCCGAGUGCAAUGAACCAACUCCCGAGUCUCUAGGACGUUCCUAAAAAAAUUUGAUUUUUUCCCAUAGGAAUGCAUGGGUUAGGGUUAGGGUUAGGGUUGGAGCUAGGGUUAGGGUUAGGGUUAGGGUUGGAGCUAGGGUUAGGGUUAGGGUUAGGGUUGGAGUUAGGGUUAGUGUUGGAGCUAGGGUUAGGGUUGGGCUUGGAGCUAGGAUUUUUCUGAGUGCAAUGAACCAACUCCCGAGUCUCUAGGACGUUCCUAAAAAAAUUUGAUUUUUCCCAUAGGAAUGCAUGGGUUAGGGUUAGGGUUAGGGUUGGAGCUAGGGUUAGGGUUAGGGUUAGGGUUGGAGUUAGGGUUAGUGUUGGAGCUAGGGUUAGGGUUGGGCUUGGAGCUAGGAUUUUUCUGAGUGCAAUGAACCAACUCCCGAGUCUCUAGGACGUUCCUAAAAAAAUUUGAUUUUUUUCCCAUAGGAAUGCAUGGGUUAGGGUUAGGGUUAGGGUUGGAGCUAGGGUUAGGGUUAGGGUUAGGGUUGGAGUUAGGGUUAGUGUUGGAGCUAGGGUUAGGGUUGGGCUUGGAGCUAGGAUUUUUCUGAGUGCAAUGAACCAACUCCCGAGUCUCUAGGACUUCCUAAAAAAAUUUGAUUUUUUCCCAUAGGAAUGCAUGGGUUAGGGUUAGGGUUAGGGUUGGAGCUAGGGUUAGGGUUAGGGUUAGGGUUGGAGUUAGGGUUAGUGUUGGAGCUAGGGUUAGGGUUGGGCUUGGAGCUAGGAUUUUUCUGAGUGCAAUGAACCAACUCCCGAGUCUCUAGGACGUUCCUAAAAAAAUUUGAUUUUUUCCCAUAGGAAUGCAUGGGUUAGGGUUAGGGUUAGGGUUAGGGUUGGAGCUAGGGUUAGGGUUAGGGUCAGGGUUGGAGUUAGGGUUAGUGUUGGAGCUAGGGUUAGGGUUGGGCUUGGAGCUAGGAUUUUUCUGAGUGCAAUGAACCAACUCCCGAGUCUCUAGGACGUUCCUAAAAAAAAUUGUUUUUUUCCCAUAGGAAUGCAUGGGUUAGGGUUAGGGUUAGGGUUGGAGCUAGGGUUAGGGUUAGGGUUAGGGUUGGAGUUAGGGUUAGUGUUGGAGCUAGGGUUAGGGUUGGGCUUGGAGCUAGGAUUUUUCUGAGUGCAAUGAACCAACUCCCGAGUCUCUAGGACGUUCCUAAAAAAAUUGAUUUUUUCCCAUAGGAAUGCAUGGGUUAGGGUUAGGGUUAGGGUUGGAGCUAGGGUUAGGGUUAGGGUUAGAGUUAGGGUUAGUGUUGGAGCUAGAGUUAGGGUUGGGCUUGGAGCUAGGAUUUUUCUGAGUGCAAUGAACCAACUCCCGAGUCUCUAGGACGUUCCUAAAAAAAUUUGAUUCUUUCCCAUAGGAAUGCAUGGGUUAGGGUUAGGGUUAGAGUUAGGGUUAGUGUUGGAGCUAGGGUUAGGGUUGGGCUUGGAGCUAGGAUUUUUCUGAGUGCAAUGAACCAACUCCCGAGUCUCUAGGACGUUCCUAAAAAAAUUUGAUUUUUUCCCAUAGGAAUGCAUGGGUAAGGGUUAGGGUUAGGGUUGGAGCUAGGGUUAGGGUUAGGGUUAGGGUUGUAGUAAGGGUUAGUGUUGGAGCUAGGGUUAGGGUUGGGCUUGGAGCUAGGAUUUUUCUGAGUGCAAUGAACCAACUCCCGAGUCUCUAGGACGAUCCUAAAAAUUUUUGAUUUCUUCCCAUAGGAAUGCAUGGGUUAGGGUUAGGGUUAGGGUUGGAGCUAGGGUUAGGGUUAGGGUUAGGGUUGGAGUUAGGGUUAGUGUUGGAGCUAGGGUUAGGGUUGGGCUUGGAGCUAGGAUUUUUCUGAGUGCACUGAACCAACUCCCGAGUCUCUAGGACAUUCCUAAAAAAAUUUGAUUUUUUCCCAUAGGAAUGCAUGGGUUAGGGUUAGGGUUAGGGUUAGGGUUGGAGCUAGGGUUAGGGUUAGGGUUAGGGUUGGAGUUAGGGUUAGUGUUGGAGCUAGGGUUAGGGUUGGGCUUGGAGCUAGGAUUUUUCUGAGUGCACUGAACCAACUCCCGAGUCUCUAGGACAUUCCUAAAAAAAAUUGAUUUUUUUCCCAUAGGAAUGCAUGGGUUAGGGUUAUGGUUAGGGUUAGGGUUGGAGCUAGGGUUAGGGUUAGGGUUAGGGUUGGAGUUAGGGUUAGUGUUGGAGCUAGGGUUAGGGUUGGGCUUGGAGCUAGGACUUUUCUGAGUGCAAUGAACCAACUCCCGAGUCUCUUGGACGUUCCUAAAAAAAUUUGAUUUUUUCCCAUAGGAAUGCAUGGGUUAGGGUUAGGGUUAGGGUUGGAGCUAGGGUUAGGGUUAGGGUUAGGGUUGGAGUUAGGGUUAGUGUUGGAGCUAGGGUUAGGGUUGGGCUUGGAGCUAGGAUUUUUCUGAGUGCAAUGAACCAACUCCCGAGUCUCUAGGACGUUCCUAAAAAAAUUUGAUUUUUUCCCAUAGGAAUGCAUGGGUUAGGGUUAGGGUUAGGGUUGGAGCUAGGGUUAGGGUUAGGGUUAGGGUUGGAGUUAGGGUUAGUGUUGGAGCUAGGGUUAGGGUUGGGCUUGGAGCUAGGAUUUUUCUGAAUGCACUGAACCAACUCCCGAGUCUCUAGGACAUUCCUAAAAAAAAUUGAUUUUUUCCCAUAGGAAUGCAUGGGUUAGGGUUAUGGUUAGGGUUAGGGUUGGAGCUAGGGUUAGGGUUAGGGUUAGGGUUGGAGUUAGGGUUAGUGUUGGAGCUAGGGUUAGGGUUGGGCUUGGAGCUAGGAUUUUUCUGAGUGCACUGAACCAACUCCCGAGUCUCUAGGACAUUCCUAAAAAAAAUUUAUUUUUUCCCAUAGGAAUGCAUGGGUUAGGGUUAGGGUUAGGGUUGGAGCUAGGGUUAGGGUUAGGGUUAGGGUUGGAGUUAGGGUUAGUGUUGGAGCUAGGGUUAGGGUUGGGCUUGGAGCUAGGAUUUUUCUGAGUGCACUGAACCAACUCCCGAGUCUCUAGGACAUUCCUAAAAAAAUUGAUUUUUUUCCCAUAGGAAUGCAUGGGUUAGGGUUAUGGUUAGGGUUAGGGUUGGAGCUAGGGUUAGGGUUAGGGUUAGGGUUGGAGUUAGGGUUAGUGUUGGAGCUAGGGUUAGGGUUGGGCUUGGAGCUAGGAUUUUUCUGAGUACAAUGAACCAACUCCCGAGUCUCUUGGACGUUCCUAAAAAAAUUUGAUUUUUUCCCAUAGGAAUGCAUGGGUUAGGGUUAGGGUUAGGGUUGGAGCUAGGGUUAGGGUUAGGGUUAGGGUUGGAGUUAGGGUUAGUGUUGGAGCUAGGGUUAGGGUUGGGCUUGGAGCUAGGAUUUUUCUGAGUGCACUGAACCAACUCCCGAGUCUCUAGGACAUUCCUAAAAAAAUUUGAUUUUUUCCCAUAGGAAUGCAUGGGUUAGGGUUAUGGUUAGGGUUAGGGUUGGAGCUAGGGUUAGGGUUAGGGUUAGGGUUGGAGUUAGGGUUAGUGUUGGAGCUAGGGUUAGGGUUGGGCUUGGAGCUAGGAUUUUUCUGAGUGCACUGAACCAACUCCCGAGUCUCUAGGACAUUCCUAAAAAAAAUUGAUUUUUUUCCCAUAGGAAUGCAUGGGUUAGGGUUAUGGUUAGGGUUAGGGUUGGAGCUAGGGUUAGGGUUAGGGUUAGGGUUAGGGUUAGAGUUAGGGUUAGUGUUGGAGCUAGGGUUAGGGUUGGGCUUGGAGCUAGGACUUUUCUGAGUGCAAUGAACCAACUCCCGAGUCUCUUGGACGUUCCUAAAAAAAUUUGAUUUUUUCCCAUAGGAAUGCAUGGGUUAGGGUUAGGGUUAGGGUUGGAGCUAGGGUUAGGGUUAGGGUUAGGGUUGGAGUUAGGGUUAGUGUUGGAUCUAGGGUUAGGGUUGGGCUUGGAGCUAGGACUUUUCUGAGUGCAAUGAACCAACUCCCGAGUCUCUUGGACGUUCCCUAAAAAAAAUUGAUUUUUUCCCAUAGGAAUGCAUGGGUUAGGGUUAGGGUUAGGGUUGGAGCUAGGGUUAGGGUUAGGGUAAGGGUUGGAGUUAGGGUUAGUGUUGGAGCUAGGGUUAGGGUUGGGCUUGGAGCUAGGAUUUUUCUGAGUGCAAUGAACCAACUCCCGAGUCUCUAGGACGUUCCUAAAAAAAAUUGAUUUUUUCCCAUAGGAAUGCAUGGGUUAGGGUUAUGGUUAGGGUUAGGGUUGGAGCUAGGGUUAGGGUUAGGGUUAGGGUUGGAGUUAGGGUUAGUGUUGGAGCUAGGGUUAGGGUUGGGCUUGGAGCUAGGAUUUUUCUGAGUGCACUGAACCAACUCCCGAGUCUCUAGGACAUUCCUAAAAAAAAUUGAUUUUUUUCCCAUAGGAAUGCAUGGGUUAGGGUUAUGGUUAGGGUUAGGGUUGGAGCUAGGGUUAGGGUUAGGGUUAGGGUUGGAGUUAGGGUUAGUGUUGGAGCUAGGGUUAGGGUUGGGCUUGGAGCUAGGACUUUUCUGAGUGCAAUGAACCAACUCCCGAGUCUCUUGGACGUUCCUAAAAAAAUUUGAUUUUUUCCCAUAGGAAUGCAUGGGUUAGGGUUAGGGUUAGGGUUGGAGCUAGGGUUAGGGUUAGGGUUAGGGUUGGAGUUAGGGUUAGUGUUGGAGCUAGGGUUAGGGUUGGGCUUGGAGCUAGGAUUUUUCUGAGUGCACUGAACCAACUCCCGAGUCUCUAGGACGUUCCUAAAAAAAUUUGAUUUUUUCCCAUAGGAAUGCAUGGGUUAGGGUUAGGGUUAGGGUUGGAGCUAGGGUUAGGGUUAGGGUUAGGGUUGGAGUUAGGGUUAGUGUUGGAGCUAGGGUUAGGGUUGGGCUUGGAGCUAGGAUUUUUCUGAGUGCACUGAACCAACUCCCGAGUCUCUAGGACAUUCCUAAAAAAAAUUGAUUUUUUCCCAUAGGAAUGCAUGGGUUAGGGUUAUGGUUAGGGUUAGGGUUGGAGCUAGGGUUAGGGUUAGGGUUAGGGUUGGAGUUAGGGUUAGUGUUGGAGCUAGGGUUAGGGUUGGGCUUGGAGCUAGGAUUUUUCUGAGUGCACUGAACCAACUCCCGAGUCUCUAGGACAUUCCUAAAAAAAUUUGAUUUUUUUCCCAUAGGAAUGCAUGGGUUAGGGUUAUGGUUAGGGUUAGGGUUGGAGCUAGGGUUAGGGUUAGGGUUGGAGUUAGGGUUAGUGUUGGAGCUAGGGUUAGGGUUGGGCUUGGAGCUAGGAUUUUUCUGAGUGCAAUGAACCAACUCCCGAGUCUCUUGGACGUUCCUAAAAAAAUUUUAUUUUUUCCCAUAGGAAUGCAUGGGUUAGGGUUAGGGUUAGGGUUGGAGCUAGGGUUAGGGUUAGGGUUAGGGUUGGAGUUAGGGUUAGUGUUGGAGCUAGGGUUAGGGUUGGGCUUGGAGCUAGGAUUUUUCUGAGUGCAAUGAACCAACUCCCGAGUCUCUAGGACGUUUCUAAAAAAAUUUGAUUUUUUCCCAUAGGAAUGCAUGGGUUAGGGUUAGGGUUAGGGUUGGAGCUAGGGUUAGGGUUAGGGUUAGGGUUGGAGUUAGGGUUAGUGUUGGAGCUAGGGUUAGGGUUGGGCUUGGAGCUAGGAUUUUUCUGAGUGCACUGAACCAACUCCCGAGUCUCUAGGACAUUCCUAAAAAAAUUUGAUUUUUUCCCAUAGGAAUGCAUGGGUUAGGGUUAUGGUUAGGGUUAGGGUUGGAGCUAGGGUUAGGGUUAGGGUUGGAGUUAGGGUUAGUGUUGGAGCUAGGGUUAGGGUUGGGCUUGGAGCUAGGACUUUUCUGAGUGCAAUGAACCAACUCCUGAGUCUCUUGGACGUUCCUAAAAAAAUUUGAUUUUUUCCCAUAGGAAUGCAUGGGUUAUGGUUAGGGUUAGGGUUGGAGCUAGGGUUAGGGUUAGGGUUAGGGUUGGAGUUAGGGUUAGUGUUGGAGCUAGGGUUAGGGUUGGGCUUGGAGCUAGGAUUUUUCUGAGUGCAAUGAACCAACUCCCGAGUCUCUAGGACGUUCCUAAAAAAAUUUGAUUUUUUCCCAUAGGAAUGCAUGGGUUAGGGUUAGGGUUAGGGUUGGAGCUAGGGUUAGGGUUAGGGUUAGGGUUGGAGUUAGGGUUAGUGUUGGAGCUAGGGUUAGGGUUGGGCUUGGAGCUAGGAUUUUUCUGAGUGCACUGAACCAACUCCCGAGUCUCUAGGACAUUCCUAAAAAAAUUUGAUUUUUUCCCAUAGGAAUGCAUGGGUUAGGGUUAUGGUUAGGGUUAGGGUUGGAGCUAGGGUUAGGGUUAGGGUUAGGGUUGGAGUUAGGGUUAGUGUUGGAGCUAGGGUUAGGGUUGGGCUUGGAGCUAGGAUUUUUCUGAGUGCACUGAACCAACUCCCGAGUCUCUAGGACAUUCCUAAAAAAAUUUAAUUUUUUUCCCAUAGGAAUGCAUGGGUUAGGGUUAUGGUUAGGGUUAGGGUUGGAGCUAGGGUUAGGGUUAGGGUUAGGGUUGGAGUUAGGGUUAGUGUUGGAGCUAGGGUUAGGGUUGGGCUUGGAGCUAGGAUUUUUCUGAGUACAAUGAACCAACUCCCGAGUCUCUUGGACGUUCCUAAAAAAAUUAGAUUUUUUCCCAUAGGAAUGCAUGGGUUAGGGUUAGGGUUAGGGUUGGAGCUAGGGUUAGGGUUAGGGUUAGGGUUGGAGUUAGGGUUAGUGUUGGAGCUAGGGUUAGGGUUGGGCUUGGAGUUAGGAUUUUUCUGAGUGCACUGAACCAACUCCCGAGUCUCUAGGACAUUCCUAAAAAAAAUUGAUUUUUUUCCCAUAGGAAUGCAUGGGUUAGGGUUAUGGUUAGGGUUAGGGUUGGAGCUAGGGUUAGGGUUAGGGUUAGGGUUGGAGUUAGGGUUAGUGUUGGAGCUAGGGUUAGGGUUGGGCUUGGAGCUAGGACUUUUCUGAGUGUAAUGAACCAACUCCCGAGUCUCUUGGACGUUCCUAAAAAAAUUUGAUUUUUUCCCAUAGGAAUGCAUGGGUUAGGGUUAUGGUUAGGGUUGGAGCUAGGGUUAGGGUUAGGGUUGGAGUUAGGGUUAGUGUUGGAGCUAGGGUUAGGGUUGGGCUUGGAGCUAGGACUUUUCUGAGUGCAAUGAACCAACUCCCGAGUCUCUUGGACGUUCCCUAAAAAAAAUUGAUUUUUUCCCAUAGGAAUGCAUGGGUUAGGGUUAGGGUUAGGGUUGGAGCUGGGUUAGGGUUAGGGUUAGGGUUGGAGUUAGGGUUAGUGUUGGAGCUAGGGUUAGGGUUGGGCUUGGAGCUAGGAUUUUUCUGAGUGCAAUGAACCAACUCCCGAGUCUCUAGGACGUUCCUAAAAAAAUUUGAUUUUUUCCCAUAGGAAUGCAUGGGUUAGGGUUAGGGUUAGGGUUGGAGCUAGGGUUAGGGUUAGGGUUAGGGUUGGAGUUAGGGUUAGUGUUGGAGCUAGGGUUAGGGUUGGGCUUGGAGCUAGGAUUUUUCUGAGUGCACUGAACCAACUCCCGAGUCUCUAGGACAUUCCUAAAAAAAUUUGAUUUUUUCCCAUAGGAAUGCAUGGGUUAGGGUUAUGGUUAGGGUUAGGGUUGGAGCUAGGGUUAGGGUUAGGGUUAGGGUUGGAGUUAGGGUUAGUGUUGGAGCUAGGGUUAGGGUUGGGCUUGGAGCUAGGACUUUUCUGAGUGCAAUGAACCAACUCCCGAGUCUCUAGGACGUUCCUAAAAAAAUUUGAUUUUUUCCCAUAGGAAUGCAUGGGUUAGGGUUAGGGUUAGGGUUGGAGCUAGGGUUAGGGUUAGGGUUAGGGUUGGAGUUAGGGUUAGUGUUGGAGCUAGGGUUAGGGUUGGGCUUGGAGCUAGGAUUUUUCUGAGUGCACUGAACCAACUCCCGAGUCUCUAGGACAUUCCUAAAAAAAUUUGAUUUUUUUCCCAUAGGAAUGCAUGGGUUAGGGUUAGGGUUAGGGUUAGGGUUGGAGCUAGGGUUAGGGUUAGGGUUAGGGUUGGAGUUAGGGUUAGUGUUGGAGCUAGGGUUAGGGUUGGGCUUGGAGCUAGGAUUUUUCUGAGUGCACUGAACCAACUCCCGAGUCUCUAGGACAUUCCUAAAAAAAUUUGAUUUUUUCCAAUAGGAAUGCAUGGUUUAGGGUUAUGGUUAGGGUUAGGGUUGGAGCUAGGGUUAGGGUUAGGGUUAGGGUUGGAGUUAGGGUUAGUGUUGGAGCUAGGGUUAGGGUUGGGCUUGGAGCUAGGACUUUUCUGAGUGCAAUGAACCAACUCCCGAGUCUCUGGGAUGUUCCCUUAAAAAAUUUGAUUUUUUCCCAUAGGAAUGCAUGGGUUAGGGUUAUGGUUAGGGUUAGGGUUGGAGCUAGGGUUAGGGUUAGGGUUAGGGUUGGAGUUAGGGUUAGUGUUGGAGCUAGGGUUAGGGUUGGGCUUGGAGCUAGGAUUUUUCCGAGUGCACUGAACCAACUCCCGAGUCUCUAGGACAUUCCUAAAAAAAUUUGAUUUUUUCCCAUAGGAAUGCAUGGGUUAGGGUUAUGGUUAGGGUUAGGGUUGGAGCUAGGGUUAGGGUUAGGGUUAGGGUUGGAGUUAGGGUUAGUGUUGGAGCUAGGGUUAGGGUUGGGCUUGGAGCUAGGACUUUUCUGAGUGCAAUGAACCAACUCCCGAGUCUCUAGGACGUUCCCUAAAAAAAAUUGAUUUUUUCCCAUAGGAAUGCAUGGGUUAGGGUUAGGGUUAGGGUUGGAGCUAGGGUUAGGGUUGGGCUUGGAGCUAGGAUUUUUCUGAGUGCACUGAACCAACUCCCGAGUCUCUAGGACAUUCCUAAAAAAAUUUGAUUUUUUCCCAUAGGAAUGCAUGGGUUAGGGUUAGGGUUAGGGUUGGAGCUAGGGUUAGGGUUAGGGUUAGGGUUGGAGUUAGGGUUAGUGUUGGAGCUAGGGUUAGGGUUGGGCUUGGAGCUAGGAUUUUUCUGAGUGCACUGAACCAACUCCCGAGUCUCUAGGACAUUCCUAAAAAAAUUUGAUUUUUUUUCCCAUAGGAAUGCAUGGGUUAGGGUUAUGGUUAGGGUUAGGGUUGGAGCUAGGGUUAGGGUUAGGGUUAGGGUUGGAGUUAGGGUUAGUGUUGGAGCUAGGGUUAGGGUUGGGCUUGGAGCUAGGAUUUUUCUGAGUGCAAUGAACCAACUCCCGAGUCUCUUGGACGUUCCUAAAAAAAUUUGAUUUUUUCCCAUAGGAAUGCAUGGUUUAGGGUUAGGGUUAGGGUUGGAGCUAGGGUUAGGGUUAGGGUUAGGGUUGGAGUUAGGGUUAGUGUUGGAGCUAGGGUUAGGGUUGGGCUUGGAGCUAGGAUUUUUCUGAGUGGAAUGAACCAACUCCCGAGUCUCUAGGACGUUCCUAAAAAAAUUUGAUUUUUUCCCAUAGGAAUGCAUGGGUUAGGGUUAGGGUUAGGGUUGGAGCUAGGGUUAGGGUUAGGGUUGGAGUUAGGGUUAGUGUUGGAGCUAGGGUUAGGGUUGGGCUUGGAGCUAGGAUUUUUCUGAGUGCACUGAACCAACUCCCGAGUCUCUAGGACAUUCCUAAAAAAAUUUGAUUUUUUCCCAUAGGAAUGCAUGGUUUAGGGUUAUGGUUAGGGUUAGGGUUGGAGCUAGGGUUAGGGUUAGGGUUAGGGUUGGAGUUAGGGUUAGUGUUGGAGCUAGGGUUAGGGUUGGGCUUGGAGCUAGGACUUUUCUGAGUGCAAUGAACCAACUCCCGAGUCUCUAGGACGUUCCCUAAAAAAAUUUAAUUUUUUCCCAUAGGAAUGCAUGGGUUAGGGUUAGGGUUAGGGUUGGAGCUAGGGUUAGGGUUAGGGUUAGGGUUGGAGUUAGGGUUAGUGUUGGAGCUAGGGUUAGGGUUGGGCUUGGAGCUAGGAUUUUUCUGAGUGCACUGAACCAACUCCCGAGUCUCUAGGACAUUCCUAAAAAAAUUGAUUUUUUUCCCAUAGGAAUGCAUGGGUUAGGGUUAUGGUUAGGGUUAGGGUUGGAGCUAGGGUUAGGGUUAGGGUUAGGGUUGGAGUUAGGGUUAGUGUUGGAGCUAGGGUUAGGGUUGGGCUUGGAGCUAGGAUUUUUCUGAGUGCAAUGAACCAACUCCCGAGUCUCUUGGACGUUCCUAAAAAAAUUUGAUUUUUUCCCAUAGGAAUGCAUGGGUUAGGGUUAGGGUUAGGGUUGGAGCUAGGGUUAGGGUUAGGGUCAGGGUUGGAGUUAGGGUUAGUGUUGGAGCUAGGGUUAGGGUUGGGCUUGGAGCUAGGAUUUUUCUGAGUGCAAUGAACCAACUCCCGAGUCUCUAGGACGUUCCUAAAAAAAUUUGAUUUUUUCCCAUAGGAAUGCAUGGGUUAGGGUUAUGGUUAGGGUUGGAGCUAGGGUUAGGGUUAGGGUUAGGGUUGGAGUUAGGGUUAGUGUUGGAGCUAGGGUUAGGGUUGGGCUUGGAGCUAGGAUUUUUCUGAGUGCACUGAACCAACUCCCGAGUCUCUAGGACAUUCCUAAAAAAAUUUGAUUUUUUCCCAUAGGAAUGCAUGGGUUAGGGUUAUGGUUAGGGUUAGGGUUGGAGCUAGGGUUAGGGUUAGGGUUAGGGUUGGAGUUAGGGUUAGUGUUGGAGCUAGGGUUAGGGUUGGGCUUGGAGCUAGGACUUUUCUGAGUGCAAUGAACCAACUCCCGAGUCUCUAGGACGUUCCCUAAAAAAAUUGAUUUUUUCCCAUAGGAAUGCAUGGGUUAGGGUUAGGGUUAGGGUUGGAGCUAGGGUUAGGGUUAGAGUUAGGGUUGGAGUUAGGGUUAGUGUUGGAGCUAGGGUUAGGGUUGGGCUUGGAGCUAGGAUUUUUCUGAGUGCACUGAACCAACUCCCGAGUCUCUAGGACAUUCCUAAAAAAAUUUGAUUUUUUCCCAUAGGAAUGCAUGGGUUAGGGUUAUGGUUAGGGUUAGGGUUGGAGCUAGGGUUAGGGUUAGGGUUAGGGUUGGAGUUAGGGUUAGUGUUGGAGCUAGGGUUAGGGUUGGGCUUGGAGCUAGGAUUUUUCUGAGUGCACUGAACCAACUCCCGAGUCUCUAGGACAUUCCUAAAAAAAUUUGAUUUUUUCCCAUAGGAAUGCAUGGGUUAGGGUAAUGGUUAGGGUUAGGGUUGGAGCUAGGGUUAGGGUUAGGGUUGGAGUUAGGGUUAGUGUUGGAGCUAGGGUUAGGGUUGGGCUUGGAGCUAGGAUUUUUCUGAGUGCACUGAACCAACUCCCGAGUCUCUAGGACAUUCCUAAAAAAAUUUGAUUUUUUCCCAUAGGAAUGCAUGGGUUAGGGUUAGGGUUAGGGUUGGAGCUAGGGUUAGGGUUAGGGUUAGGUUUGGAGUUAGGGUUAGUGUUGGAGCUAGGGUUAGGGUUGGGCUUAGGGUUAGGGUUAGGGUUGGAGUUAGGGUUAGUGUUGGAGCUAGGGUUAGGGUUGGGCUUGGAGCUAGGAUUUUUCUGAGUGCACUGAACCAACUCCCGAGUCUCUAGGACAUUCCUAAAAAAAUUUGAUUUUUUCCCAUAGGAAUGCAUGGGUUAGGGUUAGGGUUGGAGCUAGGGUUAGGGUUAGGGUUAGGGUUGGAGUUAGGGUUAGUGUUGGAGCUAGGGUUAGGGUUGGGCUUGGAGCUAGGAUUUUUCUGAGUGCACUGAACCAACUCCCGAGUCUCUAGGACAUUCCUAAAAAAAUUUGAUUUUUUUCCCAUAGGAAUGCAUGGGUUAGGGUUAUGGUUAGGGUUAGGGUUGGAGCUAGGGGUUAGGGUUAGGGUUAGGGUUGGAGUUAGGGUUAGUGUUGGAGCUAGGGUUAGGGUUGGGCUUGGAGCUAGGAUUUUUCUGAGUGCAAUGAACCAACUCCCGAGUCUCUUGGACGUUCCUAAAAAAAUUUGAUUUUUUCCCAUAGGAAUGCAUGGGUUAGGGUUAGGGUUAGGGUUGGAGCUAGGGUUAGGGUUAGGGUUAGGGUUGGAGUUAGGGUUAGUGUUGGAGCUAGGGUUAGGGUUGGGCUUGGAGCUAGGAUUUUUCUGAGUGCAAUGAACCAACUCCCGAGUCUCUAGGACGUUCCUAAAAAAAUUUGAUUUUUUCCCAUAGGAAUGCAUGGGUUAGGGUUAGGGUUAGGGUUGGAGCUAGGGUUUUUCCCAUAGGAAUGCAUGGGUUAGGGUUAGGGUUAGGGUUGGAGCUAGGGUUAGGGUUAGGGUUAGGGUUGGAGUUAGGGUUAGUGUUGGAGCUAGGGUUAGGGUUGGGCUUGGAGCUAGGAUUUUUCCGAGUGCAAUGAACCAACUCCCGAGUCUCUAGGACGUUCCUAAAAAAAUUUGAUUUUUUCCCAUAGGAAUGCAUGGGUUAGGGUUAGGGUUAGGGUUGGAGCUAGGGUUAGGGUUAGGGUUAGGGUUGUAGCUAUGGGUUAGGGUUAGGGUUAGGGUUGGAGUUAGGGUUAGUGUUGGAGCUAGGGUUAGGGUUGGGCUUGGAGCUAGGAUUUUUCUGAGUGCAAUGAACCAACUCCCGAGUCUCUAGGACGUUCCUUAAAAAAUUUGAUUUUUCCCAUAGGAAUGCAUGGGUUAGGGUUAGGGUUAGGGUUGGAGCUAGGGUUAGGGUUAGUGUUAGGGUUGGAGUUAGGGUUAGUGUUGGAGCUAGGGUUAGGGUUGGGCUUGGAGCUAGGAUUUUUCUGAGUGCAAUGAACCAACUCCCGAGUCUCUAGGACGUUCCUAAAAAAAUUUGUUUUUUUCCCAUAGGAAUGCAUGGGUUAGGGUUAGGGUUAGGGUUGGAGCUAGGGUUAGGGUUAGGGUUAGGGUUGGAGUUAGGGUUAGUGUUGGAGCUAGGGUUAGGGUUGGGCUUGGAACUAGGAUUUUUCUGAGUGCAAUGAACCAACUCCCGAGUCUCUAGGAUGUUCCUAAAAAAAUUUGAUUUUUUCCCAUAGGAAUGCAUGGGUUAGGGUUAGGGUUAGGGUUGGAGCUAGGGUUAGGGUUAGGGUUAGGGUUGGAGUUAGGGUUAGUGUUGGAGCUAGGGUUAGGGUUGGGCUUGGAGCUAGGAUUUUUCUGAGUGCAAUGAACCAACUCCCGAGUCUCUAGGACGUUCCUAAAAAAAUUUGAUUUUUUCCCAUAGGAAUGCAUGGGUUAGGGUUAGGGUUAGGGUUAGGGUUGGAGCUAGGGUUAGGGUUAGGGUCAGGGUUGGAGUUAGGGUUAGUGUUGGAGCUAGGGUUAGGGUUGGGCUUGGAGCUAGGAUUUUUCUGAGUGCAAUGAACCAACUCCCGAGUCUCUAGGACGUUCCUAAAAAAAUUGUUUUUUUCCCAUAGGAAUGCAUGGGUUAGGGUUAGGGUUAGGGUUGGAGCUAGGGUUAGGGUUAGGGUUAGGGUUGGAGUUAGGGUUAGUGUUGGAGCUAGGGUUAGGGUUGGGCUUGGAGCUAGGAUUUUUCUGAGUGCAAUGAACCAACUCCCGAGUCUCUAGGACGUUCCUAAAAAAAUUGAUUUUUUCCCAUAGGAAUGCAUGGGUUAGGGUUAGGGUUAGGGUUGGAGCUAGGGUUAGGGUUAGGGUUAGAGUUAGGGUUAGUGUUGGAGCUAGAGUUAGGGUUGGGCUUGGAGCUAGGAUUUUUCUGAGUGCAAUGAACCAACUCCCGAGUCUCUAGGACGUUCCUAAAAAAAUUUGAUUCUUUCCCAUAGGAAUGCAUGGGUUAGGGUUAGGGUUAGGGUUGGAGCUAGGGUUAGGGUUAGGGUUAGAGUUAGGGUUAGUGUUGGAGCUAGGGUUAGGGUUGGGCUUGGAGCUAGGAUUUUUCUGAGUGCAAUGAACCAACUCCCGAGUCUCUAGGACGUUCCUAAAAAAAUUUGAUUUUUUCCCAUAGGAAUGCAUGGGUAAGGGUUAGGGUUAGGGUUGGAGCUAGGGUUAGGGUUAGGGUUAGGGUUGGAGUAAGGGUUAGUGUUGGAGCUAGGGUUAGGGUUGGGCUUGGAGCUAGGAUUUUUCUGAGUGCAAUGAACCAACUCCCGAGUCUCUAGGACGAUCCUAAAAAUGUUUGAUUUCUUCCCAUAGGAAUGCAUGGGUUAGGGUUAGGGUUAGGGUUGGAGCUAGGGUUAGGGUUAGGGUUAGGGUUAGGGUUGGAGUUAGGGUUAGUGUUGGAGCUAGGGUUAGGGUUGGGCUUGGAGCUAGGAUUUUUCUGAGUGCAAUGAACCAACUCCCGAGUCUCUAGGACGUUCCUAAAAAAUUUGAUUUUUUCCCAUAGGAAUGCAUGGGUUAGGGUUAGGGUUAGGGUUGGAGCUAGGGUUAGGGUUAGGGUUAGGGUUGGAGUUAGGGUUAGUGUUGGAGCUAGGGUUAGGGUUGGGCUUGGAGCUAGGAUUUUUCUGAGUGCAAUGAACCAACUCCCGAGUCUCUAGGACGUUCCUAAAAAAAUUUGAUUUUUUCCCAUAGGAAUGCAUGGGUUAGGGUUAGGGUUAGGGUUGGAGCUAGGGUUAGGGUUAGGGUUAGGGUUAGGGUUGGAGUUAGGGUUAGUGUUGGAGCUAGGGUUAGGGUUGGGCUUGGAGCUAGGAUUUUUCUGAGUGCAAUGAACCAACUCCCGAGUCUCUAGGAUGUUCCUAAAAAAAUUUGAUUUUUUCCCAUAGGAAUGCAUGGGUUAGGGUUAGGGUUAGGGUUGGAGCUAGGGUUAGGGUUAGGGUUAGGGUUGGAGUUAGGGUUAGUGUUGGAGCUAGGGUUAGGGUUGGGCUUGGAGCUAGGAUUUUUCUGAGUGCACUGAACCAACUCCCGAGUCUCUAGGACAUUCCUAAAAAAAUUUGAUUUUUUCCCAUAGGAAUGCAUGGGUUAGGGUUAUGGUUAGGGUUAGGGUUGGAGCUAGGGUUAGGGUUAGGGUUAGGGUUGGAGUUAGGGUUAGUGUUGGAGCUAGGGUUAGGGUUGGGCUUGGAGCUAGGAUUUUUCUGAGUGCACUGAACCAACUCCCGAGUCUCUAGGACAUUCCUAAAAAAAAUUGAUUUUUUCCCAUAGGAAUGCAUUGGUUAGGGUUAGGGUUAGGGUUGGAGCUAGGGUUAGGGUUAGGGUUAGGUUUGGAGUUAGGGUUAGUGUUGGAGCUAGGGUUAGGGUUGGGCUUGGAGCUAGGAUUUUUCUGAGUGCACUGAACCAACUCCCGAGUCUCUAGGACAUUCCUAAAAAAAUUUGAUUUUUUUCCCAUAGGAAGGCAUGGGUUAGGGUUAUGGUUAGGGUUAGGGUUGGAGCUAGGGUUAGGGUUAGGGUUAGGGUUGGAGUUAGGGUUAGUGUUGGAGCUAGGGUUAGGGUUGGGCUUGGAGCUAGGACUUUUCUGAGUGCAAUGAACCAACUCCCGAGUCUCUAGGACGUUCCCUAAAAAAAUUGAUUUUUUCCCAUAGGAAUGCAUGGGUUAGGGUUAGGGUUAGGGUUGGAGCUAGGGUUAGGGUUAGGGUUAGGGUUAGGGUUGGAGUUAGGGUUAGUGUUGGAGCUAGGGUUAGGGUUGGGCUUGGAGCUAGGAUUUUUCUGAGUGCACUGAACCAACUCCCGAGUCUCUAGGACAUUCCUAAAAAAAUUAGAUUUUUUCCCAUAGGAAUGCAUGGGUUAGGGUUAUGGUUAGGGUUAGGGUUGGAGCUAGGGUUAGGGUUGGAGUUAGGGUUAGUGUUGGAGCUAGGGUUAGGGUUGGGCUUGGAGCUAGGAUUUUUCUGAGUGCACUGAACCAACUCCCGAGUCUCUAGGACAUUCCUAAAAAAAUUUGAUUUUUUUCCCAUAGGAAUGCAUGGGUUAGGGUUAUGGUUAGGGUUAGGGUUGGAGCUAGGGUUAGGGUUAGGGUUAGGGUUGGAGUUAGGGUUAGUGUUGGAGCUAGGGUUAGGGUUGGGCUUGGAGCUAGGAUUUUUCUGAGUGCACUGAACCAACUCCCGAGUCUCUAGGACGUUCCUAAAAAAAAUUGAUUUUUUCCCAUAGGAAUGCAUGGGUUAGGGUUAGGGUUAGGGUUGGAGCUAGGGUUAGGGUUAGGGUUAGGGUUAGGGUUGGAGUUAGGGUUAGUGUUGGAGCUAGGGUUAGGGUUGGGCUUGGAGCUAGGAUUUUUCUGAGUGCACUGAACCAACUCCCGAGUCUCUAGGACAUUCCUAAAAAAAUUUGAUUUUUUCCCAUAGGAAUGCAUGGGUUAGGGUUAGGGUUAGGGUUGGAGCUAGGGUUAGGGUUAGGGUUAGGGUUGGAGUUAGGGUUAGUGUUGGAGCUAGGGUUAGGGUUGGGCUUGGAGCUAGGAUUUUUCUGAGUGCACUGAACCAACUCCCGAGUCUCUAGGACAUUCCUAAAAAAAUUGAUUUUUUCCCAUAGGAAUGCAUGGGUUAGGGUUAGGGUUAGGGUUGGAGCUAGGGUUAGGGUUAGGGUUAGGUUUGGAGUUAGGGUUAGUGUUGGAGCUAGGGUUAGGGUUGGGCUUAGGGUUAGGGUUAGGGUUGGAGUUAGGGUUAGUGUUGGAGCUAGGGUUAGGGUUGGGCUUGGAGCUAGGAUUUUUCUGAGUGCACUGAACCAACUCCCGAGUCUCUAGGACAUUCCUAAAAAAAUUUGAUUUUUUCCCAUAGGAAUGCAUGGGUUAGGGUUAGGGUUAGGGUUGGAGCUAGGGUUAGGGUUAGGGUUAGGGUUGGAGUUAGGGUUAGUGUUGGAGCUAGGGUUAGGGUUGGGCUUGGAGCUAGGAUUUUUCUGAGUGCACUGAACCAACUCCCGAGUCUCUAGGACAUUCCUAAAAAAAUUUGAUUUUUUUCCCAUAGGAAUGCAUGGGUUAGGGUUAUGGUUAGGGUUAGGGUUGGAGCUAGGGUUAGGGUUAGGGUUAGGGUUGGAGUUAGGGUUAGUGUUGGAGCUAGGGUUAGGGUUGGGCUUGGAGCUAGGAUUUUUCUGAGUGCAAUGAACCAACUCCCGAGUCUCUUGGACGUUCCUAAAAAAAUUUGAUUUUUUCCCAUAGGAAUGCAUGGGUUAGGGUUAGGGUUAGGGUUGGAGCUAGGGUUAGGGUUAGGGUUAGGGUUGGAGUUAGGGUUAGUGUUGGGGCUAGGGUUAGGGUUGGGCUUGGAGCUAGGAUUUUUCUGAGUGCAAUGAACCAACUCCUGAGUCUCUAGGACGUUCCUAAAAAAAUUUGAUUUUUUCCCAUAGGAAUGCAUGGGUUAGGGUUAGGGUUAGGGUUGGAGCUAGGGUUUUUCCCAUAGGAAUGCAUGGGUUAGGGUUAGGGUUAGGGUUGGAGCUAGGGUUAGGGUUAGGGUUAGGGUUGGAGUUAGGGUUAGUGUUGGAGCUAGGGUUAGGGUUGGGCUUGGAGCUAGGAUUUUUCCGAGUGCAAUGAACCAACUCCCGAGUCUCUAGGACGUUCCUAAAAAAAUUUGAUUUUUUCCCAUAGGAAUGCAUGGGUUAGGGUUAGGGUUAGGGUUGGAGCUAGGGUUAGGGUUAGGGUUAGGGUUGGAGCUAGGGUUAGGGUUAGGGUUAGGGUUGGAGUUAGGGUUAGUGUUGGAGCUAGGGUUAGGGUUGGGCUUGGAGCUAGGAUUUUUCUGAGUGCAAUGAACCAACUCCCGAGUCUCUAGGACGUUCCUUAAAAAAUUUGAUUUUUCCCAUAGGAAUGCAUGGGUUAGGGUUAGGGUUAGGGUUGGAGCUAGGGUUAGGGUUAGUGUUAGGGUUGGAGUUAGGGUUAGUGUUGGAGCUAGGGUUAGGGUUGGGCUUGGAGCUAGGAUUUUUCUGAGUGCAAUGAACCAACUCCCGAGUCUCUAGGACGUUCCUAAAAAAAUUUGUUUUUUUCCCAUAGGAAUGCAUGGGUUAGGGUUAGGGUUAGGGUUGGAGCUAGGGUUAGGGUUAGGGUUAGGGUUGGAGUUAGGGUUAGUGUUGGAGCUAGGGUUAGGGUUGGGCUUGGAACUAGGAUUUUUCUGAGUGCAAUGAACCAACUCCCGAGUCUCUAGGAUGUUCCUAAAAAAAUUUGAUUUUUUCCCAUAGGAAUGCAUGGGUUAGGGUUAGGGUUAGGGUUGGAGCUAGGGUUAGGGUUAGGGUUAGGGUUGGAGUUAGGGUUAGUGUUGGAGCUAGGGUUAGGGUUGGGCUUGGAGCUAGGAUUUUUCUGAGUGCAAUGAACCAACUCCCGAGUCUCUAGGACGUUCCUAAAAAAAUUUGAUUUUUUCCCAUAGGAAUGCAUGGGUUAGGGUUAGGGUUAGGGUUAGGGUUGGAGCUAGGGUUAGGGUUAGGGUCAGGGUUGGAGUUAGGGUUAGUGUUGGAGCUAGGGUUAGGGUUGGGCUUGGAGCUAGGAUUUUUCUGAGUGCAAUGAACCAACUCCCGAGUCUCUAGGACGUUCCUAAAAAAAAUUGUUUUUUUCCCAUAGGAAUGCAUGGGUUAGGGUUAGGGUUAGGGUUGGAGCUAGGGUUAGGGUUAGGGUUAGGGUUGGAGUUAGGGUUAGUGUUGGAGCUAGGGUUAGGGUUGGGCUUGGAGCUAGGAUUUUUCUGAGUGCAAUGAACCAACUCCCGAGUCUCUAGGACGUUCCUAAAAAAAUUGAUUUUUUCCCAUAGGAAUGCAUGGGUUAGGGUUAGGGUUAGGGUUGGAGCUAGGGUUAGGGUUAGGGUUAGAGUUAGGGUUAGUGUUGGAGCUAGAGUUAGGGUUGGGCUUGGAGCUAGGAUUUUUCUGAGUGCAAUGAACCAACUCCCGAGUCUCUAGGACGUUCCUAAAAAAAUUUGAUUCUUUCCCAUAGGAAUGCAUGGGUUAGGGUUAGGGUUAGGGUUGGAGCUAGGGUUAGGGUUAGGGUUAGAGUUAGGGUUAGUGUUGGAGCUAGGGUUAGGGUUGGGCUUGGAGCUAGGAUUUUUCUGAGUGCAAUGAACCAACUCCCGAGUCUCUAGGACGUUCCUAAAAAAAUUUGAUUUUUUCCCAUAGGAAUGCAUGGGUAAGGGUUAGGGUUAGGGUUGGAGCUAGGGUUAGGGUUAGGGUUAGGGUUGGAGUAAGGGUUAGUGUUGGAGCUAGGGUUAGGGUUGGGCUUGGAGCUAGGAUUUUUCUGAGUGCAAUGAACCAACUCCCGAGUCUCUAGGACGAUCCUAAAAAUUUUUGAUUUCUUCCCAUAGGAAUGCAUGGGUUAGGGUUAGGGUUAGGGUUGGAGCUAGGGUUAGGGUUAGGGUUAGGGUUAGGGUUGGAGUUAGGGUUAGUGUUGGAGCUAGGGUUAGGGUUGGGCUUGGAGCUAGGAUUUUUCUGAGUGCAAUGAACCAACUCCCGAGUCUCUAGGACGUUCCUAAAAAAAUUUGAUUUUUUCCCAUAGGAAUGCAUGGGUUAGGGUUAGGGUUAGGGUUGGAGCUAGGGUUAGGGUUAGGGUUAGGGUUGGAGUUAGGGUUAGUGUUGGAGCUAGGGUUAGGGUUGGGCUUGGAGCUAGGAUUUUUCUGAGUGCAAUGAACCAACUCCCGAGUCUCUAGGACGUUCCUAAAAAAAUUUGAUUUUUUUCCCAUAGGAAUGCAUGGGUUAGGGUUAGGGUUAGGGUUGGAGCUAGGGUUAGGGUUAGGGUUAGGGUUAGGGUUGGAGUUAGGGUUAGUGUUGGAGCUAGGGUUAGGGUUGGGCUUGGAGCUAGGAUUUUUCUGAGUGCAAUGAACCAACUCCCGAGUCUCUAGGAUGUUCCUAAAAAAAUUUGAUUUUUUCCCAUAGGAAUGCAUGGGUUAGGGUUAGGGUUAGGGUUGGAGCUAGGGUUAGGGUUAGGGUUAGGGUUAGGGUUGGAGUUAGGGUUAGUGUUGGAGCUAGGGUUAGGGUUGGGCUUGGAGCUAGGAUUUUUCUGAGUGCACUGAACCAACUCCCGAGUCUCUAGGACAUUCCUAAAAAAAUUUGAUUUUUUUCCCAUAGGAAUGCAUGGGUUAGGGUUAUGGUUAGGGUUAGGGUUGGAGCUAGGGUUAGGGUUAGGGUUAGGGUUGGAGUUAGGGUUAGUGUUGGAGCUAGGGUUAGGGUUGGGCUUGGAGCUAGGAUUUUUCUGAGUGCACUGAACCAACUCCCGAGUCUCUAGGACAUUCCUAAAAAAAAUUGAUUUUUUCCCAUAGGAAUGCAUUGGUUAGGGUUAGGGUUAGGGUUGGAGCUAGGGUUAGGGUUAGGGUUAGGUUUGGAGUUAGGGUUAGUGUUGGAGCUAGGGUUAGGGUUGGGCUUGGAGCUAGGAUUUUUCUGAGUGCACUGAACCAACUCCCGAGUCUCUAGGACAUUCCUAAAAAAAUUUGAUUUUUUUCCCAUAGGAAUGCAUGGGUUAGGGUUAUGGUUAGGGUUAGGGUUGGAGCUAGGGUUAGGGUUAGGGUUAGGGUUGGAGUUAGGGUUAGUGUUGGAGCUAGGGUUAGGGUUGGGCUUGGAGCUAGGAUUUUUCUGAGUGCAAUGAACCAACUCCCGAGUCUCUUGGACGUUCCUAAAAAAAUUUGAUUUUUUCCCAUAGGAAUGCAUGGGUUAGGGUUAGGGUUAGGGUUGGAGCUAGGGUUAGGGUUAGGGUUAGGGUUGGAGUUAGGGUUAGUGUUGGAGCUAGGGUUAGGGUUGGGCUUGGAGCUAGGAUUUUUCUGAGUGCAAUGAACCAACUCCCGAGUCUCUAGGACGUUCCUAAAAAAAUUUGAUUUUUUCCCAUAGGAAUGCAUGGGUUAGGGUUAUGGUUAGGGUUGGAGCUAGGGUUAGGGUUAGGGUUAGGGUUGGAGUUAGGGUUAGUGUUGGAGCUAGGGUUAGGGUCUGGCUUGGAGCUAGGAUUUUUCUGAGUGCACUGAACCAACUCCCGAGUCUCUAGGACAUUCCUAAAAAAAUUAGAUUUUUUCCCAUAGGAAUGCAUGGGUUAGGGUUAUGGUUAGGGUUAGGGUUGGAGCUAGGGUUAGGGUUAGGGUUAGGGUUGGAGUUAGGGUUAGUGUUGGAGCUAGGGUUAGGGUUGGGCUUGGAGCUAGGACUUUUCUGAGUGCAAUGAACCAACUCCCGAGUCUCUAGGACGUUCCCUAAAAAAAUUGAUUUUUUCCCAUAGGAAUGCAUGGGUUAGGGUUAGGGUUAGGGUUGGAGCUAGGGUUAGGGUUAGGGUUAGGGUUAGGGUUGGAGUUAGGGUUAGUGUUGGAGCUAGGGUUAGGGUUGGGCUUGGAGCUAGGAUUUUUCUGAGUGCACUGAACCAACUCCCGAGUCUCUAGGACAUUCCUAAAAAAAUUAGAUUUUUUCCCAUAGGACUACAUGGGUUAGGGUUAUGGUUAGGGUUAGGGUUGGAGCUAGGGUUAGGGUUGGAGUUAGGGUUAGUGUUGGAGCUAGGGUUAGGGUUGGGCUUGGAGCUAGGAUUUUUCUGAGUGCACUGAACCAACUCCCGAGUCUCUAGGACAUUCCUAAAAAAAUUUGAUUUUUUUCCCAUAGGAAUGCAUGGGUUAGGGUUAUGGUUAGGGUUAGGGUUGGAGCUAGGGUUAGGGUUAGGGUUAGGGUUGGAGUUAGGGUUAGUGUUGGAGCUAGGGUUAGGGUUGGGCUUGGAGCUAGGAUUUUUCUGAGUGCACUGAACCAACUCCCGAGUCUCUAGGACGUUCCUAAAAAAUUGAUUUUUUCCCAUAGGAAUGCAUGGGUUAGGGUUAGGGUUAGGGUUGGAGCUAGGGUUAGGGUUAGGGUUAGGGUUAGGGUUGGAGUUAGGGUCAGUGUUGGAGCUAGGGUUAGGGUUGGGCUUGGAGCUAGGAUUUUUCUGAGUGCACUGAACCAACUCCCGAGUCUCUAGGACAUUCCUAAAAAAAUUUGAUUUUUUCCCAUAGGAAUGCAUGGGUUAGGGUUAGGGUUAGGGUUGGAGCUAGGGUUAGGGUUAGGGUUAGGGUUGGAGUUAGGGUUAGUGUUGGAGCUAGGGUUAGGGUUGGGCUUGGAGCUAGGAUUUUUCUGAGUGCACUGAACCAACUCCCGAGUCUCUAGGACAUUCCUAAAAAAAUUUGAUUUUUUUCCCAUAGGAAUGCAUGGGUUAGGGUUAUGGUUAGGGUUAGGGUUGGAGCUAGGGUUAGGGUUAGGGUUAGGGUUGGAGUUAGGGUUAGUGUUGGAGCUAGGGUUAGGGUUGGGCUUGGAGCUAGGAUUUUUCUGAGUGCAAUGAACCAACUCCCGAGUCUCUUGGACGUUCCUAAAAAAAUUUGAUUUUUUCCCAUAGGAAUGCAUGGGUUAGGGUUAGGGUUAGGGUUGGAGCUAGGGUUAGGGUUAGGGUUAGGGUUGGAGUUAGGGUUAGUGUUGGAGCCAUGGUUAGGGUUGGGCUUGGAGCUAGGAUUUUUCUGAGUGCAAUGAACCAACUCCCGAGUCUCUUGGACGUUCCUAAAAAAAUUUGAUUUUUUCCCAUAGGAAUGCAUGGGUUAGGGUUAGGGUUAGGGUUGGAGCUAGGGUUAGGGUUAGGGUUAGGGUUGGAGUUAGGGUUAGUGUUGGAGCUAGGGUUAGGGUUGGGCUUGGAGCUAGGAUUUUUCUGAGUGCAAUGAACCAACUCCCGAGUCUCUAGGACGUUCCUAAAAAAAUUUGAUUUUUUCCCAUAGGAAUGCAUGGGUUAGGGUUAGGGUUAGGGUUGGAGCUAGGGUUUUUCCCAUAGGAAUGCAUGGGUUAGGGUUAGGGUUAGGGUUGGAGCUAGGGUUAAGGUUAGGGUUAGGGUUGGAGUUAGGGUUAGUGUUGGAGCUAGGGUUAGGGUUGGGCUUGGAGCUAGGAUUUUUCCGAGAGCAAUGAACCAACUCCCGAGUCUCUAGGACGUUCCUAAAAAAAUUUGAUUUUUUCCCAUAGGAAUGCAUGGGUUAGGGUUAGGGUUAGGGUUGGAGCUAGGGUUAGGGUUAGGGUUAGGGUUGGAGCUAGGGUUAGGGUUAGGGUUAGGGUUGGAGUUAGGGUUAGUGUUGGAGCUAGGGUUAGGGUUGGGCUUGGAGCUAGGAUUUUUCUGAGUGCAAUGAACCAACUCCCGAGUCUCUAGGACGUUCCUAAAAAAAUUUGAUUUUUCCCAUAGGAAUGCAUGGGUUAGGGUUAGGGUUAGGGUUGGAGCUAGGGUUAGGGUUAGGGUUAGGGUUGGAGUUAGGGUUAGUGUUGGAGCUAGGGUUAGGGUUGGGCUUGGAGCUAGGAUUUUUCUGAGUGCAAUGAACCAACUCCCGAGUCUCUAGGACGUUCCUAAAAAAAUUUGAUUUUUUCCCAUAGGAAUGCAUGGGUUAGGGUUAGGGUUAGGGUUGGAGCUAGGGUUAGGGUUAGGGUUAGGGUUGGAGUUAGGGUUAGUGUUGGAGCUAGGGUUAGGGUUGGGCUUGGAGCUAGGAUUUUUCUGAGUGCAAUGAACCAACUCCCGAGUCUCUAGGAUGUUCCUAAAAAAAUUUGAUUUUUUCCCAUAGGAAUGCAUGGGUUAGGGUUAGGGUUAGGGUUGGAGCUAGGGUUAGGGUUAGGGUUAGGGUUGGAGUAAGGGUUCGUGUUGGAGCUAGGGUUAGGGUUGGGCUUGGAGCUAGGAUUUUUCUGAGUGCAAUGAACCAACUCCCGAGUCUCUAGGACGAUCCUAAAAAUUUUUGAUUUUUUCCCAUAGGAAUGCAUGGGUUAGGGUUAGGGUUAGGGUUGGAGCUAGGGUUAGGGUUAGGGUUAGGGUUAGGGUUAGGGUUGGAGUAAGGGUUAGUGUUGGAGCUAGGGUUAGGGUUGGGCUUGGAGCUAGGAUUUUUCUGAGUGCAAUGAACCAACUCCCGAGUCUCUAGGACGUUCCUAAAAAAAUUUGAUUUUUUCCCAUAGGAAUGCAUGGGUUAGGGUUAGGGUUAGGGUUGGAGCUAGGGUUAGGGUUAGGGUUAGGGUUGGAGUUAGGGUUAGUGUUGGAGCUAGGGUUAGGGUUGGGCUUGGAGCUAGGAUUUUUCUGAGUGCAAUGAACCAACUCCCGAGUCUCUAGGACGUUCCUAAAAAAAUUUGAUUUUUUCCCAUAGGAAUGCAUGGGUUAGGGUUAGGGUUAGGGUUGGAGCUAGGGUUAGGGUUAGGGUUAGGGUUAGGGUUAGGGUUAGGGUUGGAGUUAGGGUUAGUGUUGGAGCUAGGGUUAGGGUUGGGCUUGGAGCUAGGAUUUUUCUGAGUGCAAUGAACCAACUCCCGAGUCUCUAGGACGUUCCUAAAAAAAAUUUGAUUUUUUUCCCAUAGGAAUGCAUGGGUCAGGGUUAGGGUUAGGGUUGGAGCUAGGGUUAGGGUUAGGGUCAGGGUUGGAGUUAGGGUUAGUGUUGGAGCUAGGGUUAGGGUUGGGCUUGGAGCUAGGAUUUUUCUGAGUGCAAUGAACCAACUCCCGAGUCUCUAGGACGUUCCUAAAAAAAAUUGUUUUUUUCCCAUAGGAAUGCAUGGGUUAGGGUUAGGGUUAGGGUUGGAGCUAGGGUUAGGGUUAGGGUUAGGGUUGGAGUUAGGGUUAGUGUUGGAGCUAGGGUUAGGGUUGGGCUUGGAGCUAGGAUUUUUCUGAGUGCAAUGAACCGACUCCCGAGUCUCUAGGACGUUCCUAAAAAAAUUGAUUUUUUCCCAUAGGAAUGCAUGGGUUAGGGUUAGGGUUAGGGUUGGAGCUAGGGUUAGGGUUAGGGUUAGAGUUAGGGUUAGUGUUGGAGCUAGGGUUAGGGUUGGGCUUGGAGCUAGGAUUUUUCUGAGUGCAAUGAACCAACUCCCGAGUCUCUAGGACGUUCCUAAAAAAAUUUGAUUCUUUCCCAUAGGAAUGCAUGGGUUAGGGUUAGGGUUAGGGUUGGAGCUAGGGUUAGGGUUAGGGUUAGAGUUAGGGUUAGUGUUGGAGCUAGGGUUAGGGUUGGGCUUGGAGCUAGGAUUUUUCUGAGUGCAAUGAACCAACUCCCGAGUCUCUAGGACGUUCCUAAAAAAAUUUGAUUUUUUCCCAUAGGAAUGCAUGGGUAAGGGUUAGGGUUAGGGUUGGAGCUAGGGUUAGGGUUAGGGUUAGGGUUGGAGUAAGGGUUAGUGUUGGAGCUAGGGUUAGGGUUGGGCUUGGAGCUAGGAUUUUUCUGAGUGCAAUGAACCAACUCCCGAGUCUCUAGGACGAUCCUAAAAAUUUUUGAUUUUUUCCCAUAGGAAUGCAUGGGUUAGGGUUAGGGUUAGGGUUAGGGUUGGAGCUAGGGUUAGGGUUAGGGUUAGGGUUAGGGUUGGAGUUAGGGUUAGUGUUGGAGCUAGGGUUAGGGUUGGGCUUGGAGCUAGGAUUUUUCUGAGUGCAAUGAACCAACUCCCGAGUCUCUAGGACGUUCCUAAAAAAAAUUUGAUUUUUUUCCCAUAGGAAUGCAUGGGUUAGGGUUAGGGUUAGGGUUGGAGCUAGGGUUAGGGUUAGGGUCAGGGUUGGAGUUAGGGUUAGUGUUGGAGCUAGGGUUAGGGUUGGGCUUGGAGCUAGGAUUUUUCUGAGUGCAAUGAACCAACUCCCGAGUCUCUAGGACGUUCCUAAAAAAAUUUGAUUUUUUCCCAUAGGAAUGCAUGGGUUAGGGUUAGGGUUAGGGUUGGAGCUAGGGUUAGGGUUAGGGUUAGGGUUGGAGUUAGGGUUAGUGUUGGAGCUAGGGUUAGGGUUGGGCUUGGAGCUAGGAUUUUUCUGAGUGCAAUGAACCAACUCCCGAGUCUCUAGGACGUUCCUAAAAAAAUUGAUUUUUUCCCAUAGGAAUGCAUGGGUUAGGGUUAGGGUUAGGGUUGGAGCUAGGGUUAGGGUUAGGGUUAGAGUUAGGGUUAGUGUUGGAGCUAGGGUUAGGGUUGGGCUUGGAGCUAGGAUUUUUCUGAGUGCAAUGAACCAACUCCCGAGUCUCUAGGACGUUCCUAAAAAAAUUUGAUUCUUUCCCAUAGGAAUGCAUGGGUUAGGGUUAGGGUUAGGGUUGGAGCUGGUUAGGGUUAGGGUUAGAGUUAGGGUUAGUGUUGGAGCUAGGGUUAGGGUUGGGCUUGGAGCUAGGAUUUUUCUGAGUGCAAUGAACCAACUCCCGAGUCUCUAGGACGUUCCUAAAAAAAUUUGAUUUUUUCCCAUAGGAAUGCAUGGGUAAGGGUUAGGGUUAGGGUUGGAGCUAGGGUUAGGGUUAGGGUUAGGGUUGGAGUAAGGGUUAGUGUUGGAGCUAGGGUUAGGGUUGGGCUUGGAGCUAGGAUUUUUCUGAGUGCAAUGAACCAACUCCCGAGUCUCUAGGACGAUCCUAAAAAUUUUUGAUUUUUUCCCAUAGGAAUGCAUGGGUUAGGGUUAGGGUUAGGGUUGGAGCUAGGGUUAGGGUUAGGGUUAGGGUUAGGGUUGGAGUUAGGGUUAGUGUUGGAGCUAGGGUUAGGGUUGGGCUUGGAGCUAGGAUUUUUCUGAGUGCAAUGAACCAACUCCCGAGUCUCUAGGACGUUCCUAAAAAAAUUUGAUUUUUUCCCAUAGGAAUGCAUGGGUUAGGGUUAGGGUUAGGGUUGGAGCUAGGGUUAGGGUUAGGGUUAGGGUUGGAGUUAGGGUUAGUGUUGGAGCUAGGGUUAGGGUUGGGCUUGGAGCUAGGAUUUUUCUGAGUGCAAUGAACCAACUCCCGAGUCUCUAGGACGUUCCUAAAAAAAUUUGAUUUUUUCCCAUAGGAAUGCAUGGGUUAGGGUUAGGGUUAGGGUUGGAGCUAGGGUUAGGGUUAGGGUUAGGGUUAGGGUUAGGGUUGGAGUUAGGGUUAGUGUUGGAGCUAGGGUUAGGGUUGGGCUUGGAGCUAGGAUUUUUCUGAGUGCAAUGAACCAACUCCCGAGUCUCUAGGACGUUCCUAAAAAAAUUUGAUUCUUUCCCAUAGGAAUGCAUGGGUUAGGGUUAGGGUUAGGGUUGGAGCUAGGGUUAGGGUUAGGGUUAGAGUUAGGGUUAGUGUUGGAGCUAGGGUUAGGGUUGGGCUUGGAGCUAGGAUUUUUCUGAGUGCAAUGAACCAACUCCCGAGUCUCUAGGACGUUCCUAAAAAAAUUUGAUUUUUUCCCAUAGGAAUGCAUGGGUAAGGGUUAGGGUUAGGGUUGGAGCUAGGGUUAGGGUUAGGGUUAGGGUUGGAGUAAGGGUUAGUGUUGGAGCUAGGGUUAGGGUUGGGCUUGGAGCUAGGAUUUUUCUGAGUGCAAUGAACCAACUCCCGAGUCUCUAGGACGAUCCUAAAAAUUUUUGAUUUUUUCCCAUAGGAAUGCAUGGGUUAGGGUUAGGGUUAGGGUUGGAGCUAGGGUUAGGGUUAGGGUUAGGGUUAGGGUUGGAGUUAGGGUUAGUGUUGGAGCUAGGGUUAGGGUUGGGCUUGGAGCUAGGAUUUUUCUGAGUGCAAUGAACCAACUCCCGAGUCUCUAGGACGUUCCUAAAAAAAUUUGAUUUUUUCCCAUAGGAAUGCAUGGGUUAGGGUUAGGGUUAGGGUUGGAGCUAGGGUUAGGGUUAGGGUUAGGGUUGGAGUUAGGGUUAGUGUUGGAGCUAGGGUUAGGGUUGGGCUUGGAGCUAGGAUUUUUCUGAGUGCAAUGAACCAACUCCCGAGUCUCUAGGACGUUCCUAAAAAAAUUUGAUUUUUUCCCAUAGGAAUGCAUGGGUUAGGGUUAGGGUUAGGGUUGGAGCUAGGGUUAGGGUUAGGGUUAGGGUUAGGGUUAGGGUUAGGGUUGGAGUUAGGGUUAGUGUUGGAGCUAGGGUUAGGGUUGGGCUUGGAGCUAGGAUUUUUCUGAGUGCAAUGAACCAACUCCCGAGUCUCUAGGACGUUCCUAAAAAAAUUUGAAUUUUUUCCCAUAGGAAUGCAUGGGAAAAAAAAAUUGAAAAAUUUUUUAAGUGCCAACCCAAUUUUUCACCUUCCAGAAUUGUGUUAGGAGCACGUUUCAGGGCACGGGGAGUCUAUAGAACCUAAUUCUGGGGGAAGUUUUUUGAAAAGUUUACUUAGGGUUUGGGUUAGGGUUAGGGUAUGAGCUAGGGUUAGGGUUAGGGUUAAGGUUGGAGCUAGGGUUAGGGUUAGGGUUAGGAUUAGCGUGGAGCUAGGGUUAGGGUUAGGGUUAGGGUUAGGGUUAGGGUUAAUAACAUACUAAAAUUUUACCAAAGUUGGACCACUAGAAAGGUUUCAUUUUCAAGAUGGCGUUCAUGCUAGGUUGGAAGCCUGGGGAGACACAUCAGGUGUUCAUGUUUCGGUUCUUGAAAUGUAUGCUAAGUCGUGCAUAUUUAAUGAGAUAUUGCCUCAUUUACAUAUUCAUACAUAACAUUUGACAAAACUUGUAAAACAACAAAUAAUUUUCUUAAUGUAAGUCAUAAACUUGGGACUUUUCAAUGUGAUAUCUGUUAGUUAAAAAUUUUACCCUAUUCACCUGGGGUGUCUCUCCUGGGCUUCCAACCCAUCAUGGACGCCAUCUUGAAAAUGACACCUUUCUAGUGGUCAAACUUUGGCAAACUUUUAGUAUGUUAUUAAGAACAUCUAAUACUAUCAAAAAUGUUAGAAUUUUUUUGGGGUCAAGUCAUAUUUGCACCUGACUAUAUAAAUAAAGUUUGAUUGAUUGAGUGAUUGAUUUAACAGAAUAGGCUAUGUAGAUAUGGCGUUAGGGUUAGGGUUAGGGUUAGGACUAUGGGGUUAGGGUUAAAAUCACUGUCCAGCACUUUUUUAGGAGCACAUUUCAGACCAUUUGAAGCCAAUUGGUACAAAAAAAAACAAGAAAAAUGCCAAAAAAAUUGUAAGUGUUAGGGUUACAGUGGGGUAACACAAGGGUAUUGGGGUUAUGGUUAUGGGGUUAUGGUUAAAAUCAUUGCCCAGGACCUUUCUAGGAGCACACUUUAGAUCAUUUGAAGUCAAUUGGUUAGAAAAAAUUAGUAAAAAAGUUAAAAAAAAUUUAAGGGUUUGGGUUACUUUGAAGCAGCAUUGGGGCAAUGUUUGGGUAUUGGGGUUAGGACGUUAGGGUUAAGGUUAUGGGGUGAGGGUUAUAAUCACUGUCCAGGACUUUUUUAGGAGCACGUUUCUGACCAUUUAGGGUCAAUUGGUACAAAAAAAAUUAGUAAAAAUUUCAAAAUUUUUCUGAGUGUUACGGUAAUAUUGGGGUAACAUUGGACGCCAUUUUCAAGAUGGCGUCCAAUGUUACCUCAACAUAUACAACUAUAAAAAACAGCUGAGAAACAUUUGUCAGAAUUUUUGGGGGUAAAGUCAUAACUGCACCUCACUAAAGAGAUAAAAUCUUAUCUGCAUGGAAAUUAUUACGGUAAGAGUGGUUCCAGGCUGUCGCAACCGAGCAGCAGACAGGUUGAGAGUGGGUUAGGGUUAGAUCAGCUGAGCCUCUCCUGAUAUAGCAUCACAAGUCCCUGCACACUGUACGCAGAUGUCAGAAUGAUUCAGAGCCAGCUGGUCUGCUGUUUAGCAUGUGUGAUUAUGUGUGUGUGCAUGGGCAAGAAAGAGGAAAGUUAAAAGUUGUUGUCCUGAGGGGAAACCAUGCAAAAUAUAAAAGCUUGUCACCAAACUCAAAAAAAAAGAAAAACAGAUUUCCCAGAUUGAGCUGGUAAAGCUGUGAGGUUAUCGGCAUAAAUGGCAUGAGCAUGAAGGAUUAUGCAACUCCAUGUAGGUGACCUGAAAAGCAGUUUACACUCGCACAACAAGGUCAGCAGCUCCAUACACUGUGCAAUGGGCAUAAAUGUGUCACAUGCUAACGCUGAGAUUUUAAAGAAAUUCCUUAAAAUCCUUUAAAUUCAGAUUCUAUCUUCAAGGGGAGAUGUGUUUUUUCCACCUUAUAGCUCAAUACAAGUCAGAUUAGAGAAAUGACCUUGCCUUACAUUUUUGUCUUUUUGCACUUUGUAUAUAUCUCUUCACACAAACAAUAUUCAGCUCUCCUUUUUUUAUCUCUCCCCACAGUGAUUUCUUCUUGUUUCUUGUAACAAAGGGGAUAAAUAUUUCAGGCACUUCCUCCUUGUCUAUAGUUUAUUUAUCAGUCAGCUGCAUAGAACAAACUACAUCUCCCCAAAUGGGAAACAGCUAAGGGACGACAGGAAAGAGCUAGAACAGGUUUUAAGACGGAGUCUUGCUGCAAGUCUGCAAAGUGUGCAAGUGUGCUGUAAAUUAUAAUCAAGCUAUUUUUUUUACAGGGGAACCAGCACAUAUGUACAAAGGCCUCUGAAGAUUAGUUUUCUCUGUCAUGUACAGUAUAUAUAUGGCUUAAUCGAACAGAGUCUGGCCAGAGCGUUUUGGAAGUUGAAUAGCAUGAAUGUGGAAGCCAUGUUGUGCCCAAAACCUUAAAUGUGAAGGAAGGACGUAAAAAAAAAACAGCACAUAAUGACACAUUUUUAUUGAUAAUAUACAUUCUGUUGUACAUAAUCAAUAUGGCAUGUUACUGACAAACUGGAAAGGAUAUUGCCCCCUUCUGUAGUGAAGGUAGACAUGCCUUUAUUGAUAAUUAGAUUUUUUGGCCACAGCAUAAGAACUGGUUCAAGGACAGUAAUUCAAUUAAAUUGUCUAACCGAGCAGUGACUGUAGCUAGACUUACUUGUGCAUGUAAAGGUAGUGAGAGGCCACUAAAAGCCCACUUAAACUCUGCCUUUUUUGCUUCUUGCUAAAUUGAAUGAAAGUUGGGUCAGUAUUUUCAAUGUGACGACCUCUAUGGAUGGGCUUUCAAACUCUGCUUCAGAAACCGAUGGGUCAAGUGAUAUCAGGCUGUUUACUUUGUAGAUGAGACUUUAUCAUCAUUGUUAUGGGAUUUUGACCAAUUAACAUUAAAUAUUGAACAUAGGCAAUAACAGAUUCUAGGAAAAGCUUGUUUCAGACUUUCAUGUGAGCUUAAGGAGAAAAGGUCAAAAGAAAAGAACUCCAUCAUCAAGCGUUGCCUCUGGUUUAAUUUUUGUCAGUAUGAGAACAAAUGAUUGCUUUUUUAGUGUUUUCCAAGAAUACUAAUAUUUACAUGCUGCUUUGACAUUUGACGUAACUGUCCUUUUCAACAUAAAAGGUCCAUUGUUGGCAGUUUCGCCUCCUCAUGAGUAGCUCCUCACAAUGCAGACUGUGGUUCUGCGUCAGGCACCUGGGACUCAACUGUGCUCAGAGAUAACUUGACCUUUACAUUUGGCUGGAGAUGAACCAGUAAGUAGAGAUGACUCCCGCCGAUAAGGAGGCAUACAGACACAGUGGGGGUAACACAGAGAAACAAAUUUCAUGGAGACAAAUCAGAUUUCGAGGAAGAAAGUGCUUAAUUUGAUGUGAUUGGUGUAAUGAGCAAGCAGGUCUGCUGAGGACCCCUGUAGGGUCUUGACUAGCUACCAAGACACAGACAAAGGCUAAUAUACACAGUAGACUCCUGUUUCUUCCUGUGUGCAGCGACCCACAAUCAAACUUCAAGAUCAGAUUUAGAGCAUUGGAUUGGGGUCAGGCUCUCUGAGUAGGUUACCCAGGUUGGACUUUCUAACUUUUUGUGUCUGCUCUUGGUUUUAAGAGUGGUUUGUUUUUUAGUGUUUUUAAUUUCCUCCGGUUUUAUUUGUACCUAAUAAAUCCCUUAAAAUGUAUUUAUAUUUCUCAAGUGGUUUGUGUCACAGUAGACGACGCCAGAGCCUGGCUAGAGCUUUUUGUGUCAGCUUGGAUGCAUUAUGAAGCUUUUGUUUUAGGAUCAACUUUGAGCAUGUUUUUAAAUUCCAAUUGAGACAAAAUUCUGUUGUUUCAUUUGAUUCAAAUGAGGCCUUAAAUUUCAGGAUUUGCCUCAAUAGUUAUUACAAAAAAGUGGAAGUAUCACCACCCGCUGUUAGUUGGCACACACAAAUCACCACACAGAUUGCUUGAAUAGCUGUUGACCCAAAUCUGUCAUUCUGUCUGCAUCCAUUAUCUCAACACCCAAGAGCACAUAUUUGUGUGCCCAGGUGCAGAAGGUUACAGUAAGAGAUGUUUCCCAAUAAACACUGUCCCACAGCAAACUUUCUCAGCGCCGCGCCGCGAUCAAGAAAUCAAACAACCUGACAGGAAGAGUGAAGGCAGCAACAAAAUGAGAAGAGAGCGGAAUUGAGAUGUCAGAGCGCAGAGGUGUUCCUGGCUCUAUAUUACAGGGUAUUUACAGCUGUGCAGAUGUGUGUUUGUCAGGCGUUGACAGUGAACGCCCGGACCUGAGAUGGGAGCCGUCGGGCCAGGCAGUAUUGAUGGCUGCCUGGGGGUGUCAGAGGGCGAGAGGUAUUUGCGUAUGAGCUAGAAACAGUUGUUCCCUUGAAGUAAUGACUACCUGUGUUUCUCAGCCUGAUUUACAGACAUACAUAAUCUCUCCUCACUCUAGGAUUUGUGGCAGGACAGGCAGGAUGCUGUAGAUCCCCUAAACACACCCUGUGAUGGAUGUUUUCGUUUGUUGUUUAAGGAUCUGCUUUAAAUCGGCUUCACUUCAAUGAGGUACCUCUUUGGUGACCUUUUCUUCUUCGUGUCUUUGAAGAUGUUACUUAACUAGGAUGUAACUUUCCUAAGCCCUCUGUGGGGUCAUCACUGUUAAUUGAAUAUUGAGUGUUGGUUGGUAUUAUGCUUCCAUUCCUAUUCACUUUCACAAAGAUUUUGAACAGGCCCAUGUUAAAGCUCCUUUUACUCCACAGAGACUUUGAAAAAAACUGUAAACCCUGUUUUAGUUUUUGUCUCGAUGUCAUAUGUAUACAUGAAACAAGAUGUUCCUGAAGUAAAGCAAAUGUAGGCUUUCUUAUGACGAAACUUCAAGACACAAUUUGAUCCAGUUAAUAUCCCAGCACAAUGCUUCGAUACAGUUACUUUGUUUAAUGUUUAUUAUGUCCUGUCCUGACUGAAAGUUAUGCAAGAGUAAAAGAUUUUAUGGUUUGUUGGCUUCAAAAUUGCUGUCAACCUUCAUGUUGUCUAACUAAAAUCCAGUCUACCUGAUUUAAACUGAAGAGAGCAACAGCCUAUUUC
rnacentral:lncRNA from 1 species